rnacentral:lncRNA from 1 species
GCGUUGAUCCUAGCUUGCGUUGUAUGCUUCUUUUUUCUGCAAUCAAGGAUUAGCUCUCUGUUCGUUCUAAAAGUUCAAAUGUUGAAGCAGUGUUUUUUGAAUGUGCUUCACUUUUGGUUUGCAGGUGAUGUAUGAUGCUACUGGUGUAAGGUUACAGGCUGGCCGGCAAGCAGAGGUUCAAAACACUGAUCUAAUCCAUCGUUGCAAUUGACUGUUCACUUUUUUUUCUGUAGAGGUUAUUGAAUAGGGUUUUGUUUCUGCAGGUGUUGAAUCAAAUUGUGUAUGAACUCCCUGCUGAACAUCCUUUGGCCGAAAGCAGACCUCUUCGUGAACUCCUUGGUCACACUCCUGCUCAGGUACAUAUGCCAUAGGUUGCAUUAGACUUAUAUGCUUAUGUUGUUAAGUUUGAGCUGAGAAUGUGCAUUCAAUGAUUAGAGCUCUCUGAAGUCAUAUGUUGAUUAUGUUGUUAAUUGUUAUGUUUGAGUUGAGAAUAUGAGCUAGACUUGCAGGACUCUCUGAAAUCAAUCUCGUACUUCCGACUGCGACUUCACGAGCAACCUCAUAGCAUAGUUUUUUUUAUUCGAUUGGAUCCUGUGAUGUAGGGCCAUCACGGGAAGUUUUCAUAGAGUAUAUAUAUAUCAUAUGUUGCAUUAUAUGCUUAUGUUGUUAUUGUUUGAUAUAAAGGAAUGUGAGAUUGUGAAGUAACAGUAAUGAACAAAUAUCGAUUCUAUGAUCUAGCCAUCAUCGAAACCAACCUUAUAACAUCAUCUUUCGAUCGAUUGUAUGCGUUCAUAGGUUAUUGCGGGUAGCUUGCUUGGAGUUGUGACAGCUAUCAUUGGCCAUCUGAUCACAAUGGCAACUAGUCGCAGCUGAAGAGUCUUCGUGUCGACGCCAUCAAACGGCUAAAAGCUCGGCGAGUCGGCUCGACGAGGGCAUGUGACCAUAGAAUUGCAGUGUGUUUCAACUGAUGCCAUUUUCUGGGUUUUUAGGAGACUCACCUGAUCAUAAGUAUAUACAUUCCUUCAAAAAAAGUGUUUCUAUUCUUUCAUACAUGUGAUUUGUUCACAGUACUGUCCUCAGUCAAAUGUAAUUAUAGACAUCAAAAUCUGACAGAUCAUCUCUAGCAAGUUUAUGAUGAAAAAUUACAGGCUUUUAGGCUACAUGCUGUUCUUUUGUUGUGUUUGAAGGUUGCUGUUCUUUUAGGGUCCCAACUGAUUCGUAAGUGGAAUUGAUCAAAAAUCAACAACCCAAUCAGUUGCUCAUUUAAAAAAAUCACAAAAAAGCAGCAAUCCAAAUGAUUAGUGAUCCAAUUUGUGACCCAGUUGAACUACAACCUUAUUGUUAGUAACACGUAACCAAAUUAAUCUAAUUCGUAACACGCUUGAUCUGCCCCGACAACUCCACCAUUGUAUCUUAUAUUAAAUGGACCCGAGUAAUAUAAAAAACCAAAUUUUAUGAGGUGAGGAUACUUUCUUUUUGUUCUCACCCGUAAGAAUACUUUAAAACUGUUAGAUUUUUUAUUGAUUAUUUAAAAGUUUACAUUAGUCUUUAAUUUAGUCUUGAAUGGAACAAAAGAAAAACUGUAUGUCAACUAUUAAUAUUUUAGUCUUGAAGUAUGUAAGCGGUAUUAGAUGGUACAGUAUCAAGUGGCAUCCGCCCCGCAGGCAUCAUGAAAUGUAAUGUGGGUGUGACCCGCUUUGAGACGAAUAAUAUCACGGGGAACCGCAUGUCGAUUCUCAACUCGGGAGGCUCUCUUGUGCAAUUUCGAAUGAAAAUGUGGAUGGGGUUGUACGAUGUGAAAGUUGGGGAGGCCACGACUCUUUUGGAGGGAAUCAGGUGGGUGAUCGACAUAGAGCUCCAAUCGGUCGUUUUCGAAAGUGAUUCUCAGAUGGUGAUGUAAGCGAUCGAUGGCAAUUAUGAAGAUCUUACCGAGUUUGGUGCUUUAGUUUUUAUGUGUUGUUGUCUUUUACGUUCCUAAGAAGAUUUUAGUUUUUGUUUUGUUAGGAGAGAAAGGAACGAAAUUGACUACACGUUAGUGAGACAAUCCCUGAUCUAUACGUCCUGUUUGUGGGUGUUAUAUCUCUUGUCUGCCCCAGUCCAAUGUUAUAUCUUACUUGUUCUUUGACAGGUCAUUAAUGAAAAAGUAAUAAUAAUUUAUGCGUCAAAAAAACAUUACCAUAAAUUAUUAAUGCUAAAAGAGGUAAUUGUCUUGUCAUUUUAUUAAUGCUGAAAGUCUAAAAUUUGAAAACAAGCUUACAUUGUUUGAGCGGUAUAAGCCUAGAUAAGAGGUGUAUUUCCGACAUGGGGUUUACAAGGAGUCGCAGUCUUCCGUGGAUAAAUGAAUAACUCAUUUUCGAACUUUCCUGACCAAUUAAUUCUAAGCGAACAAAAAAAGCCUAGACUCGAACAAACAAAAACUCAAACACUAACAAAGAACAAAAGACUAACUGAAUCGGCUCGACAACAAGAUCGAACCAAUACGACAAACACACAAGAGACCUAGAAAACAAGAAAAAAAAUACUAAAUAGCCACUAACACAUACUCUUAAGCCUAUCUAUAAAUAUUUAAGACAGACUCUUGACAAAAAAUAUAUGAAAAACACAAAAAAUGCAAACCGAAUCGUACCAUUAAAACAAAAGGAGAUACGUAAAAGUAGCAAUGGUCUUCAUCCAUUGUCUGUACAAGGUGACCCGCCUCCACAAUGCCAAAACUAUUUAUGUCGAUGGGCAGGACUCCGAAGGUUUGCCAACUCCUACAUUGUUUCCAGCACCCUCGUAAUUCCCCUCCCCCUCCCAAUUCUCAAUUUGUUUUUCAAUUGAUUGAUAAAAAUCUUAUUUUUAUUGGAGGUUUAGGGCCCUACCAUUCUCCUCACUUUGAAUUACUCAGACGAUGUGCUUUUGAUCGAACAUUUGUCUCACCGGUUGGGUAAGCUUGAACCUGGAGACAUUGUUCUAGUUCGAUCCCCGGUUGAACCGGGAAAGAUUGUGGCUAAAUGGAUAGUCGCAAUGGAAGGUGAUCGCGUCACUUUCCUUACUGCCCUUCACAUUCCGGUAAGGGACAUACACAAUCAUGUCACUGCAGACUAUUAAUUGUUCCGGUUUGGGGUGAAUAGGUUGUUGUUCCAGCAAUGAUGUGCAACUUUAUUUCAACUAGAGAUUGUGGAAGUUACCAUUCUUAUUGUGUAUUGCAGGGAGAAGCUGAUAGUUCCGAAAAAAAGCUGCAGUUUUGGACAAGGUUCAUAUGCCGAUGUCUGAGUACAUAACGAGAAGUAUCGAGUUCUUGUAUUAGUACUCUGUGCUUUUUUAAAUUGUUGUGUGUUUUUAUAAAGUGUUGUGUGAAGAAAUGAAGGUAACCCUUAUUUGUAUUUGCUUAGUAGAAUCGUGGGUCUAGUUUUACGUAUACUAGGGGUCUAGCUAAAUAAUAAUAAUGAUUGACGCGUCAAAAAAAAAUACCAUAAAUAUUUAAUGACCAAUUAAUUUAAGAUUCAUGCACAAUCAUAAUUGGAGAUUGGUAAAUGAAAUAGAAAAAUCAUUAAAUAAAUUUCCUUAGUUCAAUUUACUUUAAGAAAAAUACCUUAUUUGCCUAUAAACAAUUAACGUCUAUAUAAGAAAGGUAAUCAUUUAAAUCAAAAUUUACGAAAUUGCCAUUUUUCCUUUGACUGUUUACUCCUCCAAUUUUCUCGUAUAAAUUGCAAUUGUUAUUGUUCUGGGAGUGAAUAGGUUAGACGUUCGAUUGUCUUUGCAUUGGCGAUGACCAAUUCUUACAAUACUAUUGUUAGUUUCAGAGUGAUGGCUAUUAUGUUAUUUUUUAUGGUUUUCGGUAUCGGCGUAAAUGGUAUGGUUAACAAUGAUAAUAUGAAGUUUGAUCGUGAUGGCAUAUUAAAAACCAUUGUGGUUAGUAUUUCUUUGAAUAUUAUGUCUAUAUACAAUAUACUUGAUUGGUGUUAUCUUCACCUUUUUAAAGUUAUCAUAUACUGUUUUUAUGGGUGGUUGAUGCUUAAUUGUGGCAUGGAUUUGUAACAGAGCGGAGACGAAACUAUUGAUUGUGUGGACAUCUAUAAACAACCCGCUUUCAACAAUCCGCUUUUGAAAAAUCACACUCUUCAGGUGAGCUUCAACAAAGUUGCAUAUUUGUGUUUGUGUAAUUUCAAAUAAAAUACAGUUAUGAUUUGUUUUUUCUGCAAUUGUUUAGUUGAAACCAAGUUCAUACCCGAGGGGGUCGAGAUCCAAAGUUGUGGUUAACUCAACAAAGUACAUUCAAAUGUGGCAUAAGAAUGGUGAGUAUUGCCCCAAGGGAACAAUAGCAAUGUUGAGAUCGUCAACGACGACUUGGGCAUUUAAGGAUAUCGAGGUACAUGUAGCGUUAUAGAAGAUUGAUUGAGAUUUAAAUAUAUGAAUAUUCUGAAAGUGAAAUUAUUGUUCGAUUGAUUACAGGUGGCGGGAGUGUCGUCGUCUUAUGAUUACUAUGGACUCAAUAUGGAUAUGAGCGUAUGGAGCCCACAAACACAACCAAACGAAAUGAGCUCAUCUCAAGUUUGGGUGUUCGGUGGGGACGGCCUCAUAGUGCAGUCGUUUCAAGCUGGUUGGAUGGUAAUUAUUGGUAAUUAAACAGCUUUAUUUUUUGGUCGUUCAAAUAAUAAUAAUAAUAAAUAUCAGGUAACGCCAUUGAAGCCAAAACCCACCAUCUUCGCAUAUUGGACCGUAAGUGCAUAUGAAAUAAGAAUAUAUGGUUGUAGCUAGCUAGGUGUGCACAAUUAUAUUAUUAAUUAGUUAUAUAUAUGGAUCUCUUCUAUAGAGGGAUGCAACCGAAGUAUCUGGAUGCUACAAUCUAGACUGUCCUGGUUUUGUUCAAACAAGUUCUACCAUUGUCCUCGGUUCUCAACUAAACCCAGUUUCCAUCUAUGGCGGCCAACAAUUUUUUAUCAACCUCAAAAUUCACAAAGUAAGAAAUUUAAAUUCCCAAUUAUAUAUAUUGAGAUUGUGCAUGCAUGCAAACUCUCUUCAUAAAACUCAUUCAUCACAGGAUUUUAAAACGGGCAACUGGUGGCUAAACAUCCAAGGAACGGAUAUAGGGUACUGGCCGGGAGAUUUAUUGCCGAGCAUGAAGAUAUCAGCAACUGUGAUGGUGUGGGGAGGUAAAGUUAGCAAUACGAAGCCGAAAGGGGUUCACACAAGGACUCAGAUGGGGAGCGGCCAUUUCCCGAGCGAAGGGUUCGGAAAGGCGGCCUGGUUCAAGAACUUAGAAUAUGUGGACGACAAAGGAUCGUUCCAGGAUGUCCGCUUUAUUCAAACAACAGCUUCGGAUGAAAAUUGUUACGACGCACAAGUGCAGGAUUGGGAUCAGAAUUUUGGUACUCAUUUCCUCUACGGUGGUCCUGGCUAUUCCUCUAUUUGCCAGAACUAGCUUGCUAGUAGUCGUUUUGAUGCAUAUGCAUUGUCUGACAAUCAUUAUCCUAAUUCACCAUGCCAACCGAAAUAAAGAUGAUUGGAAGUCCUGAGCAAAAUUUUAGAGUUUGGAAUGAAUUUUAAAACAUACUAGUGCUCCCUAAUGUUGAAGCGGUUAAAGUUCUUAAUCCACUGGUGACGAGAAAUGAUAAUUACCAGAAGUCUUUUCCACCAUUUUCGACAAAUCCCAAUACCUCGCGCGCACUUUUACUCCACUGCUCGUGAGUUUCACCUCUCCUUUGAGUGCUCAAUUGAGAGGAUAGCUGUGAUUACCUUCUGACGCCAGGGAUGUGAAAGACGUGCCGUCCGUUGUACCAGUUUCGUAUGCGCCUCGUGUGGCGCCCUUGCCGGAGGAUAAGGUUGAAGGUGAAGUGCAAGAGAGUGCAAAGGACGGCGAGGACAUGAAGACCGAGGUUCGCCGGGUUGAAACGGAGAAUAGGGCUAUGAGAAGGAUUUUGAGGAUGGAGGAACAAACAGAGCAGGCUGUUGUGCCUUUUCCUAGAUUGAUGGUACCGGAGAAGAAGAAAGAGAAGAGGCCACUUCCGGAAUUGAUGGACGCCAUUCGCCAAGUCAAGGUUACUGUCUGUUUGGUUACAUGUAAAAUGGAUGAUGUUAUUAUAUAGUUUGUUUUCGGAUUCUAAUUUUUGGUUGGACUGUUUCUUUCAACUGGUCAGGGUGACGCCAGGACGGCCUUUGAUGAAACUAUUGAAGCGCAUGCGAGAUUGGGAAUCGAUCAAAUCUCGAUCAGACCUGGUGGGUGUUGAGUUGUUGAAUAGGUAGAUUGCUCUGUUGGAAAUUAAGUUCCCCGGCCUAUAUAUUAAGCUUUGCUUUCCUCACAAGUGAAGUUCUUAAGUAGCUUGGAGGUAACGAGAAGACCUUUGAGUUGACAGAGAAGAAGCUUGUUGCUGCUUCAGCUGCGGUCCCGGAUGAUAGCCAGAGCAGAAUCCUGGCUGCUCAUGAACGGUUUCUUGCUCGAAAAGGGAACAAAUGAGAGUCCGGUAUUUGUCAAAGAGUGAGCAUGUAACGAUAUGGUGUUCAGCCAUGGCAGCAGGUUAACCAUCUAGUCGGUCAAAAUUAAUGGGAAGAUGGAUGUUGUAGCUUACUUAGUAUGAAGUAUUGUGGUAUAUCGUGCAGUUUUCUUUAACUAUAAUAGUAGUCGAUGUAUUUACUCUCGACAACAUGUUGCUGGAAGAAUGCAUUUGAAAUUGUUACGAUAAAAUCAUUGGGGAUAAUGUCCAAUUCGAUUCCAUGGAAGAUAAAGGGGGCUAAGAGAUUGAUCGGAGAAACGAUCAAAUUCUGGAGAAGAAUAAGGAAGCAGAGAAUUGAUGUUGAAGCUCUGAAAGUUGUAUUCGAUUUAUUCAGCUGUUUGGGUUUUAUACCAACCUCAACGGUAACAAGAACAGUAAAAAUGAAAUUACAAACGCGGGUAAAAACACGUGUCAUUAGUUCAUACAUCAACUUGGUAAAAUGGACGGGAAAUGAAACUCUCCGUUUCAAUCAUCUUCACUUCUUCUUUCGUUGACGUUGACUAACGCUUUUCCCACUAACUCCGUUUGUUCUUCGCUGCAUUCAACAGGGGCACUAGCUAGUAAACUCGGCCAAUUUAUACGAACCUGAACGAGCUGGUAGACAAUUCAAAGCAUUUACAGUCGGGGGGAUAUAGCUCUCGUAACACGGCAACAGAAAAAAUUAAGGCGCCAUGAAAUUCGAAUUCUGCCAAUUAGUUGCUGUUUGCCGGAAGCUGAUUCAUCCUUCUUCUCCUCGCUGCCAGUUUGGUAUCCAUAAACUGUGGCCAACUGUGAUUUGUUACCCGGAGUAAGAAUUGUCGAAGGAUGAGGGAUUGAGUGAAGAAAUCUCGGGGAACCCUAACCAUGAAAUUUUUCCUGCUGCCAAACGUACCAUAGGUUUUCAGGCUGUGUUUGCUUCAGCUUUGUCUACUGUUUAGGUACCUUAGUACUGAUGGAUCCGAAAAAUUCUAUCUGACCCUGAGCUUUGUGGUUAUAAUAUUGAAUAAAUCCCAUGAGAGGAGCUUGAACACGUAAGUUCUGCAUUUGGGAAAAAAAUGGUUUGUGACCAUUUAUGUAGCUUCCACAAAAGCAAAAUCAGCUGAGAGUUACAGUUGCUAAUGACCUUUUUAGAGACAUUUUACUGCGAUUGGUAAAGCUAUUGACGAUAAUGCGUGAAUGAAAAGUAAAAGGUCUGAUCACAUCUGCAACUCCUGAUCGUCUUCUCCAGUUCUCCUCCGAUCUUACUGUGUUCUUUUGAUGAUUUCCGUCCCCUCCUCCAUUACCCUAUAUAUCAAUCCAAUGAUGAUGCUGAAACUGAAAUACAGGCCUUCUCUUUUCUUCAUUUGUUUCGUGGUCAAUUUUUACGUCGUCGGUGGCGUCAACUUCAACUAUUCGGCAUUUCGGGGGACCACCACCGACGAUUUCAUCUUACAUAAAUCGUCCCUCGGUGCUGACAUGGUGCACAUCACUGCUGACUACGAGCGCUGGGAUAUCACCAAUAAGUCGGGACGGUUGCUCUUCCACCGGCCGGUCCACCUACUCAACUUCAAGACGAGCUUCGUUUUCAGAAUUGUUCCGGUGACUCAGCUGCCAGGGGAAGGUCUGGCAUUCGUGCUUGCCGGAGACCCGAACCUUCCGGAACACAGCUCGGGUCAGUGGCAUUCAUUCCAAUAACUGAAUUCCUAUUCGAUGCCUAUGUACAAUUCGAAUGUUGGUCGCCUUAGACUAAAUAAAAAGACGUAACUUAAUCGUAAAAAAGAUUGCAUAACUUACUUUAACUACUGUCCACAUAACCCUUCCUGUACUGAUGAAGUUACCGGGUAUCAAAAGAAUUAGAUAGGAAUGAGGAUGCAAAAAGAAGGCUUUACAAUCCAACUCAUAGGUACUGUUCCUAAGCUACAGUGGCACCAUUUGGUUGGGCCCUAGCUUACGCCUUACUUUGUCUUAUUUCAUAUUUACCCAACGAUGUUGCCUCCUAUCUUACACACCUACGGCGGCUUUCUUUGUUCCCCCUUCAGUCACCUUGACGUACUGCUCCUGCUAUCUGACGAACAUGCUUCUAUGACGCUUCGGUGUUCUGUAUUAGGCCAUCAAUUCUCUAACACACCUUGACGACCUCUUUUUUCCCCAAUCGAUUUCCCUUUAAGCGCUCAAAUUUGCAGAAUCACUCCAAAUCAAAAUCACUUUCUCCAUCCCCCUGUUCACAUAGACACUGUAUGCCACAAAAUUUUCCAUGUUGCUUCUUCUACCAUACCCCCCCUGGUGACUCUAACCUUUCUUCACCAGCAAUUAUCCUCGACACCUAGGUUGUUGCAAAAAAAAAGUACGUCGAUUUCUAUUCAUCGCUCUGUUGAAUAGGUUUCCGUUGGUUGCUGCUUUCUGCUUGACGUGUACCUUUCAUAAAGACUGAAGGUUUCCGAUUGGCACUGUAUCAAGCUGCUGCGUCUAACCAGGAUUUUGAUUCUUUCUGGUGUGAUUCACACUUUUCCUUCGACGAGGAACAAACUAAGCGCUUGCAUUACUUUCUUUCUUAAUAAAAAGUUUACUGUUGUAAAUGACAUGUGGGGCAGCUGAGGGAAAAUUCGUGAGAUUUUGUAAAACCAAAGUCUCUAGAAUUCGUGCACCAGCUACAUUAUCGUUGAUUUUAUGAAUCUAUCCAGAUGAGGAAAAAGGAUUCUGCUUUGUCUUCCAAUAGUUGUUAACAGGAUAGUGGUUCAUGAAUACCAGCAACGUUGAACCUCUUUCAAUAACUCGAGUUAUUGAACGCAUUGGUGCAUGAUAUGGUAUUAUAAUCUUCCGUAGUCAAUUUAAGGGUUGGUGGUUCGAUUAGGACCUAUGUUUCACCGUUUUUGUGAAUGUGAAUUGUGACCUAAGGUUGGUUGGUUCAUUUCAAUUAGGUUUUAGAUGAUGGCAUAAUUCAUAGGAGGAACAAAUUUUUGUAAUUAUUGUUUGCAUCUGUGUCAGUGAGCUGGCGUUUUAGGGAAUCUGUCUGCAAAAUGUUUGCUGCUUUGAGGAGUUCACAGCUUGCCUUGCUUAGUGAAGGAAGUUACAGAUGACAGUUUUCUUGCUAAGCUUCCAUGUGCCUUAUUCUUGCCUGGACAUUUCAAUGUAUGUAGUUGUGCCAUAGUUCUUCGGAUGUCCUUCUGGUUACUUUAAGCAUCUCAUUUUGGCUGCCAAAAACUUAUGCCGACUCUAAAUUUGAGAUUCUAUAUGUGAAAUUUGUGUAGCUAUCCAGAUUAGAUAUUCUAUAUGUGGAAGUUGAGAAACCUAAGCUAAUUUUUAGUCAUAGCCAACUUUAUGCUGUUGUAUCAAGUAUCAACGGUCCGUUCCAGAUGGUCUGCAUUGUCUUGCAUUGUCUUACACGAAACAUUGUUUCUGAUGAAAUUCUUAGCGGCCUGCCAUAGAUUUCAAUUCAGUGGUUUAGUAGGAAAUUGGUUACUGAUCCUAACUGCUAUGCUGAUUUCUGCUUACACUAAGUAUUAUUAUUACUAUAUAAUUGCAUAAACGGGCUGUCAUGGCCAUCUGCACUUCCGCAGCGUAGCACGGACAUAUACUACCUAGUUUUAACUAAAAAGUAGAGAUACGGAAAACCCCUUAAUGAACAGUUUAGUUCCUUCGUGUUUUAUAUAAUUUUAAUGAGUUAUUGAAUAAUGUUUGAUAUUUGUUGAACAAGUUUAGUUUGGACAAGAAAUAUGUUCAAUGAUUUGAAAGCUGGAUAAUAUGUCUGUAAGUUGCUAAUGAUGCAUAUUUUGAUUGAAUAAAACUGCCAGCCAGAUUGCACUAGAUAUUUGUUGAACAAGAUUAGUUUGGACAAGAAAUAUGUUCAAUGAUUUGGAAGCUGGAUAAUCUGUACUUAAGUUGCUCAUGAUGCAUAUUUUGAUUGAAUAAACUGCCAGCCAGAUUGUUCAAUGAUUUGAAAGCUGGAUAAUCUGUACUUAAGUUGCUCAUGAUGCAUAUUGAUUGAAUAAACUGCCAGCCAGAUUGCACUAGAUCACCUACUUGAUAUAAUUUUUUUUUGGCUGCAGGUCAGUGACUCGGGAUUGUAAAUGCGAAAACGAACGGAUCAGCUAAAAUCGUGGCGGUCGAAUUCGACACGAGGAAGAGCUAUGCUGAGGAUUUAGACGACAAUCAUGUUGGGGUGAAUUUUGGGUCGGUGUACUCCGUUCACCAAGCUCCUCUGGCAGGAAUCGCGAACCUGUCGUCAGGUUCCGAUAUCACCGCCAGAAUCGAGUACGACGGAGAGAAUAUGGCUGUCUUCGUCGGAACAAGAAGCACCCCUGUAAUUAAUCGAAAACUGGAUCUGUCACUGUAUCUUCGAGACGGGGUGUAUGUCGGAUUUACCGGGUCGACCAGUCAAUAUACCGAACUGAACCUCAUCAUUUCCUGGGACUUCAGCGGAACAGAAAUCCCACAAAGAAGAAAGAGAUGGUUCAGAAUUGCUGCAUCAAUCGUAUCAGCAGUCGUGAUUCUGAUAUUUAUAUCUGGAUUAGUGUACUGGAAAAGAAGAAAUGUAGAUGACAGCGACGACUCCGACCCCAAAUUAAUCGACGAGGCGAUUCAGGCUUCGUCGGCUCCUAGAAAGUUCAAGCUGAAAGAGUUGAGGAAGGCGACGGGGAAUUUCAAUUCGAGGAACAAGGUUGGGAAAGGAGGAUUCGGUACUGUAUACAAAAGGAUCAUAAAGAAUAAGGAGAUCGCGGUGAAGAAAGUGUUGGAGAAAACGACUCAGGGGAAGCAAGAGUUCAUAUCGGAAGUCAUCACAAUUGGAAACCUUCACCAUCGGAAUCUGGUCAAGCUAAUUGGAUGGGCUUACGAGAAGAAGGAGUACCUCCUGGUUUACGAAUACUUGCCCAACGGAAGCCUGGAUAGGUUCAUUUUCCCAACAGUUAAUGGAUCGUUGAAUUUGAGCUGGGCUAUCAGGUUGCGAGUGAUUUCAGGAUUAGCUCGGGCGUUGGAGUAUCUACACACGGGCUGCGAGAAGAAAAUUCUUCACAGGGAUAUCAAGUCCAGUAAUAUAAUGCUGGACUUGAACUUCAAUGCGAAGCUCGGCGAUUUUGGCUUGGCCAGGACCUGUGUCCAGCCAAGCCAGACCCACCACUCCACCAAGGCAAUGGCGGGGACGCCCGGUUACAUCGCUCCUGAAGUCUACCUGACUGGAUGGGCAACGGAGGAGGCAGAUGUUUUUGCAUUUGGAAUCGUGGUCCUUGAAGUCGCCUGUGGGAGGAAACCAGGUAGCUGCUGGAUCGAUCAAGAUGAGAACGGGACAAAUAUUGUUAAGUGGGUUUGAGACUUCUACAAGACAAAUAAUUUGAUGAAUGCUGCUGAUGCUCGAUUGAAUGGCCAUUUCCAGGUGGAAGAGAUGGCCCGGGUGUUGAUUUUGGGGCUGACGUGCUGCAAUCCCAACCCCAAGGACAGGCCUUCGAUGAAAUUUGCCGUGCAGGUUUUGGCUGGGGAAGCUCGAGCCUGCUUUCGUGUGGCCUCCUUUGGCUUCUUCGCCUGCUUUGCCUCCGUCUCCUUCUCUCGAAAAUCAGAAUUGUGACAGUCAGCGCAGUGUGUUUUCACAACUAUCAGGUAGAUGAAUUGCACGUGGUUAGUGUUUGUAUGAAGAACAAAUAAGCGCUCUUGGAGACGAUAGAACUUUGUACCUGAAACGACACACAGAUCGACUUUCUAAUAUGAAUGUAAUUGAAAGAAAAUAAACAGAUGUACAAAGGUGCAGAAUAGCUUCUCUUCCUAGGCUGAGUUGCGUGCUUUUUGUAGACAUGAAAUUGGACUCUAAUUGGUCUCGAGCUUGUUAGUGUGUUUUCACCUCAAGUUUGUUUCUCCGAGUUUAUUGCUAUCUUUGUCUAUUAGAAGGUAAACGAAUCGCCAGUUACCAACUCGAUCCCUUUUGUAAUUUUGUGAAACGAAUGGGCUGUAGAGAUCAGUUAUCAGUGUCAAAUCAAAAGAUGGAGGCAUGAGCAGCUUUAUUUCCAAUGGAGAUUUGAACCAAAACAAAGUAAAUGCGACUUGAAAUCACUCUGGUGAUCGAGCAGUUGAUAUAAUCUGUCAUGGAGGAAAAUAAACCAAAAGAGGUAGUAUGAAGGCAUCUAAACACAUCAGCAGUUAAUAUCCACAUGCUAAACUCUGAUUUUGAUUUCAUUCAUCAAAUUGUACACAAAUUGCAGGUUAUCCAGCUGGUCAAAGUGCAAGCCAUGCCACCAUCUCCAAUUGGUGCAAUUUGACAUGAUUACAUGCCUCAUGUAGAUUUGCAACAGCUGAUCUGCACAUUGAUAUUCAUUUUGUUAGCAACCAAAUCUAUGAGUAGGAAAGAGUGAAGUUCACUUGCUAAAACAGAUCAGACAUGUACUUAUUUUUCAGGCAGGUCAUCAAGGAUUUUGUUAUAAACAAUGUUUGGCGUCCUGUCCGGUGGGGCUGCACCCUCAUUGUGCAAUGCAAGGUGAGUGAGUGCCCGAUCAAACAAUCAAAUAGCAGAUGCUAAGGGUCAGCACAAAGAUGAUGGUAAUCAGGACUCAAAUGUGCUAAACACGGCAUACCACAUAAAUAAACAAAAGAAGCAGACAAAUAACACAGACACGUCGGAGGCAUAGACUGAGCAUAUAACAUGGAUAAGAAAGUGUGAAAUCAAUUCCCUAUUGGAUUCGUCAUGCAAUCUGGGCAAACCCAAAAUACCAGUUGUGAACAAACCUGAAAUCAACCUUGUAAACAUGUUGAUGUAUUCUUUCAAGUCCUAGAUGACCAUUUCUUGCGCAAGAAAUCGUAUCUGUAUAGCAGGUAUGGAAGUUUGAGAUAAAUAGAAUACAUGAUUGUAAUCAUGAAAUUUUCCCAAUGUACCGCAAACCCUCUUCUGUGUUGAUCAUCUAACGAAAGAAGAUUCAAUCACUUUGUUGUGCAAUUUUUCUACAACAGAAAGAAAUACAUCAACAUGUACAUAAGGAAAAUUGGCUACCACUUUCAGCACUAGGUUAUUAAAACGGCAGAACAAACUUAAGAGGAAAAUGCAGAGAAUAUCCUCGAAACUAAUUAUUCGAUGAAAUCAGAUGCGUCAGAAGACAUCAAGACAUGCAAUGGAGGAAGCCCACUGAGGCCAAAGCAGCAAAAGCAAUAGUUUAAUUUCCUGCAGAAAAGUGGAAAACACUGAGUAACUAUGCUUACAUCAUCAUAAUAUUGCAGCAUUGCAGCUCCACAAUGGUACAAGCAACCAUAGAAGCUUCAAACAGGAAAGAAAAAAAACUGACCAGAAUGUUAACAAAGCUCGAAGAGCGCAAUUUACCGGCCAUCAACAGGCAAACUAACACCAUGAAUCUAUAAAAAAAACUUUACCCACCUGGAUGAUGAAGAAAGGGGGGAAAACCCCAUCAAAUUAACUGAUAAUAUAGUCAUCAAAUUAACUGAUGGACAUAUGAACUGAGCAUCAGCCGGGAGACACGGCACAACAGACACGUCAAUCUCAAAAGAACGAGUUAAGAACAUAUGAGGGAUUAAUAUUAGAUUGAUUAAGAAUUGUGUUGUAUAUGCAAUAAGAUGGAACCUACAGCGUGGCUUUGAACUAGUUCCAAGAAGCGGGCUUCGGACACUUGGGAAAUAUCUUCACAAGCAGAAAUCUGCGGAACACAGCAGGCUGAUGGACAUCAAAUUGACUGCAAGCACCACAGCAGGAUUCAAGAGACCAUUAUUAUAUUAAUCAGGUGCUUUACUAGAGCUAUAUAUAGCUAUUGGUAUUGCGAAAUAAUGAAUACAUCAAGGAAAGUGCGGAUUCUUAUGGUUCGAACGAAACCAAUACAUAACAAAAGUUUGGCUCGGAGGAGAUUUUCACAUUCCUGACCUGUCUUGAGGAUUUACUCAAUUUUCUUUUUGGUGUGAAAAUGAAUUUAAAAGCGCAAAACAUAAUCUGAAUUAGAACUUGAAUAUCCACGAUGACCGCCGCUGACGGGUCACACAUAGUCUUCGUCGAUUGAACCAAUUGAAGGGUCAGAAGUGAAUCUGUUUCCACCAACACCUGCUUGUAUCCCAAUAACUGCACCCAUGAGAGACCGUCGUCCCGCAAAGCACAAAGUUCAGCAAAGAGAAUUUGUUGGUUACCAAUCGAGCGAGCAUAGCCCCCACCCCGAAGAACACUUCCAAUUGAAGAACUCCUUCCUCGAUCGAUAAGACUACCGUCCAAGGUCGGUGGAUGGUUGGAGAGAUAGUUUCCAAAUCUAAUGGUUCCCACUCGGUUUUUUUCCCAGAGGAUGAAAUGGGUUACCCGCUAGUUAUACAAGUUUCGGGUAACUAUUGUAACCAUUUUAGACACUAUGAUUGACAAUUUGUGUGAUUUAAUUGGCUGUGGGAUUCUCAUUCAGACUUGAUUUGGCAGCUGGAAAGUUCAACAGAGGACGGUGGCAAAAAAGUUCGCACUAAAAAUUCACUUCAUUGAAAUAUGGCCUGAUAAAUUCAUGUUGCUGUUUGGUGGAUACAUCUGCUUCCUGUAAAACAUGAACGACAGAGUUCUGGAUUGGACAGAGCCAAAUUAGGUUUUGAAGAAAGAGGAUGAUACGGAAACAUCGAGUUAUCGAGUGGUUGUUCCUUGUUAGGCCAAACUCAUUGGUAAUUUGGUAUUAUAUGUAGACCUUUAGGUCCUCAUCUAAAGACUAUUCAUAACAUCUUUGUUCCCCAUACAUGACAUAUUCUCGCCUACUCUAUGUAGUCUCUAGACCGGUCUAACAUGUGGUCUCUUUGUUUGACGAAGUUCGUCUCUUUCCACACAUUCGUUCUUCACAGGGUUUCUUCUUUUGUAUCGUCGUCAGUCUCGGGCUUUAUCAACCAGCUUAUCAUAUAUAGAUCCUUAAGAAGUAUGAGAUUGGUAAACAGUUAUCGAUAAAUAGAAGAAUUGUCCAACAAAAGUACCAUUCUUUUACACUCUUCCUACGGGUUGUGAAGGCACCCAUCUAAUGAACCAGUAAGUAAAUUCCAUCCAUUACACACCCUCACAUUGUAAUCACUCUUCCGGGGAAAUGAUUACUUACCAUAUCUUCGUUUUAACCCAGAAGAGAAGGAAGACGACUCCGAACACAAUGGCUACUGGAGCCCAUUUCCGAAUCAACGCCUGCACCCAGAAUCAUGAAAUGUAAUAACAACCAAAAGUCAGUUAAUAACCGAAGAUGUGUAGUUUGCUACGUCUAGGACGAAGAUAUACCUACUGCAGGAAAGAAAUAUUGUUCAGUAGCAAUCUAAAGAAACUAACCUGUCGAUUCAAAUCUCUAGCCUUGUCUGCAUAUACGCGAGAUUCAGAUGUUAAUCGACUGGACAUCUCACUGACCUCUGCAAUAUCAUCAGAUAGACAUUAAAAAGGUGGAAAACUCGGGGAAAACAAGUUAACAUUACUUAGCUAGAAGAAACAACCAUAUGGGCAUCUAAGAAGAGGGAUCAGAAACCAAAUAAUCAAAUAUCACAGACCAAUGAUCAUGUAAAAAAGUGUUCAAAUAUCCAAUAUUAACAUUGGAGAAACGAGACAAAAUAUAUUAAUGGUCAAAUAAACAGAAUAUUACUAUGCGAGGACCUCCAGUGAGAGGUAUAUAGCAAAGGAUAAACUUACGGUCAAGCUUUUCACCAACUCCUAGAACUUCUUGCACAUUACGGGUCAUUAUCUGAUGGACUUCAUAGAGUUCAUCAUUCAACUUAGCAAUGUUCCGUUGGGUAUGUGUGUCCUGGUACAAUUUCUUUGUUCUCUGUAUAAAAGUAUCUGAACAAAGGCAGAAACAAAACAUUGGAACAGAGAGAUCUAGCAGAUGCAAAUUCAGAAAUUAUGUUAACUAACCGAUGAUAAACAUAGACUUACCAAACUUGAUAAAGGCAUAAGGUCUGGCAGCAGUUUCAAUUUGAACCCCGUUGACACGCUCAAAUUCAUUUUUCAAGUCUUCAAGAUAUUGAAACGCAAGUUUCUUAGGAUAUGCACGGUCACACAUUGUAAGGUAGCAUACUCGUCCUUCGAUAAUAUAGCUAAGCCAUCAGGUCAAGGAAAAUGAAAUUUGUACAGUACACAAAAUCACCUCAAACAAAGAAAUAUAUAGCGUGUAUCCACAAUGUACUUUUCCACAAGUAUACCACCUUAAAAGGUCUUUCAAGGCACCAGUUGGACUGCAAAUAUACACCCAAAACGCCAAACUACAUGAAAAGGAGCUAAAAGACAACCCUGAGAAAAUUAUGCCAUUAGCAUAUAAGCAACAAGAAAGUUGUCAUUUGAAAUAUCAUCAAGCACACAAAACUUAGGCUUGCCAAGUUAGUUUCACGGCUGCAAUGAAAUGAUAUUACUUCAUGUACCUGCUUCCCAACAGGCAAACUUCUAAAACAUAUCACAAUAAUAGAUUUGUGAUAGAGUGAUGUCUGUCGACCAUUAUAAAUACAUAUAGCUAGGUCAAUCCAAUAAAUAAAAUCAAGUUCACUUAUAUAAACAAGAUAGUGAUAGUAUACUGUAUAACUAAUUCAAAUUUGAAUAGUAGUGUCAAACAACUAUAAACCACCUUUUUUUUAACUGUAAUCAAGCAGUAGGAUACUGGAAGAUGUACGGGCCAGUCUCGAUGGACAUCCUUGAAGGCUCAUUCUGGCGAAUGGCGAGAUUCUUGAACAAGGCCUUGACUUGCUGCUUGUACAAUUCAAUAUCUUUGACAUCACGACCAUCAUCCAGACCUUCCGCCAGUGGGAGACCGUCAGUAACACGGGCUAUCAUUGUAAGCUUCACCAUCUUUUAGUAAUUACUUCCUCAGAUAUGCACUGCAACUGUACCAAUACGAAAAUUACUCAACUUUUGGAGAUGGAAAGACGGAUAGUAAGCAAUGAGAGAAGGGGUUCUAUGAUCCAUCACAAGAUUCAUGCAAACCACAUCAUUCUUAUUAUCAAACGAGUCGGCAUACAUUGCUAGAAAAACAAACGAAACCCAAGCAACACAAGGUAGGUCAUACCGAAUUCCAGAAUUUCAUAUUCAAUCAGUCCUUAUCCAAUUAACAGAUGUAGAUAGAUCGCUUCAGCAAUCAAACUAUACAAAAUGAGGAACCAUCUAUUGUUAAAGGAUGCAACAGGAAAUUGAGAGUGCCAUGAAAGGGAUCAGAACAGCAAUCGCAGACGCACAAAAGAUAAUUCGGCAAUGACAUCGACAUCAACGAAACAAUCCCCAAAGAAAAUGGACGCACUAAAGAAGGCGUCACCACGCGAGGAAAAGCCGAUCCCCGUUUUGAAUCGAUGAACCGCCGAAGGAACACAGAGUCGACUGAGCCAAUCGAACAGCUUCCUUCUGCCUGGAUGAUCGGCGGAGCUGCAAAUGGAGGUUUGAAUUGAAAGUGAUGCGGAUUCAGAUUAUUCGAACAAGACUUGUAGUCAAUCAAAUCUAGACCGUUAAUCACCCAAAUUGAAUUUUGGCUAAUUCCUCCUGCGGCCCUUAGAGUUUUGGUCUCGCGCUAUUUUUAAUACCCAGGGUAAUUACAUUCAUGUUAAAAAUAAAUUACAAGAGAGCAAAAAACAAACAGACAUCACCUUACAUUUCUAAAUUACAUCUCGCUAAGUCAUUCCUAAACUCUUUUCUCUCAAAAAGUAACCAAACCCCGUUUUGGUAUGUAUGAUAUUAGCUAUUCAAAAUAUCUCGUACCAAACGAGACCUUAAUCAAUCAAAAUUAGUUCGGUAUGAUGAGUUUUGAGUUGAUCAAACAAUAUAUAAAUAUGUAUUAACCGUUUAACCGAGCUAAUUAUAAGAUUUAUGGACUAAGGCCGAUCCAUUAAUCAAUUUAAAUAGUUCCGUUUUGAGACAUGACGCGAGAAAUCAAUCUAGCUAGGAACAAAAUACAACGAUCAGAUUUUGACUUCACGUCGCAAUUGGCUAUCUUCUUCCAGCAAAGCCAGCCAGCAUUGCAAGACCCUCCAAGUAGAGCCUAAGCAGUCUUGAAAACAAAUCUUGGAGCAAAACCUUUUCUAUAUCAUAUGACAAAAAUUGUUCAGAGCUGCAACUUCAAGCACUGUCCAUAUCCAGUGCCCAGGAACAUGACUCCCAACUCACUUUAAACUUUGUUUCUCUCUCGGAAAAGAUCAAAAGAGGAAAUUACAGUCUAGGAGAGCAGCAUACAUCUAUCUCUACCUGAAAUUAACAGAUAAAAAUACCAAGGUGAGGUAAAGUCUUGGUGACAUGCAGAAUGAGGGACAGACCAGGAUAUCUGCAGAUACCAUAUUACUUGAGCUGCACUUUGUGGAAAUGAUCUACAGCUUUCGACAACGACUGUAUUGAAACAGGGUAUCCUUCUCCCAUCUGCAUUCAUGAAAUGGAUCAUAGGAUUGUCCCAAGUAGAUGUCUUAUAAACAGAUAGGCUAACAGGGUAACCGUUUGAGGCAAAAAAAAUUUAAAAAGCUUACCGUGCUGCAUAUAUGGAAUGAGUUCACAUAUCCAGCAUAUUUAGAAGCUGCACGAGAGCCAGAGAAAAGUUAUUAAGGCUUCGACAGAAAUGACGACGUAGUCAAUUUGUUAAGCUUAAGCAACAUAGAACGUUUCAUUCAGUAAACAGUCCAAGUUAGUCAAGCCUCCAUGAUUUAACAGAAAACGACAUACAUAUUUGGAUAUAUGGCAUAACUGAGUGGAUACAUGCAUAAAAUCUAAAGGGGGCUCCAAUUCAUAGGAGAAACCAGAAAGAGCUUACUUUUCUUCAAGCCAGCAGGCUUUGCUUGCAGAAGGGCAUUCAUAAAAGCACCAAUGUUCUCACGUAGGGACUCUUCGCUGAAACUUGCCUGCGAUGAGGAAAGAUGAGCAUCCUAGCCAGUCCUACAGUCUAUUAUUAACACAUCAGAUAUAUUCUCAACUUUACCUUUCCAAGUCCCACAUGAACGAUGGAUGAUUUGUCCAUUCUGAACUUUAUCUGAUUCUGCUUUGCUGCUUUUACUGCCCUAGUUACAUCGCUAACAACAGUGCCUUGCUACAAUAGGAACAAGCACAAAUAAGUAACGAGGAAAUACACAAUAGGAGGUAGUCAAACCAAACUUGACAAAUUUCACCUUUGCAUCAGGCAUCAAGCCAUGACGGUUAAGAAUCCUUGCAAUCUGCAAAGGAAAAAAACAACUCUAUUAAACUAGGUGAUGUGAUGAACUCAAGCUUAUGGUGAUAUUGUAUGUCUUCUCACCUUGGCAACCCGGGGAUACAACUGACGAGUUGCAUAACAUUUGUCGAAGUCCACCUUGCCAGUACCUUUGAUCAUAAAUCAAUCAAAUCAAAAUAAAGGAACUAGCUACCAACCCAGUAAACACCAUUAUGGGUGAAAGGGUAUCUCAAUUCAAUCUAGUCAGCUUGAACAUGCACAAGGGAACGGUGUUGAAUACUACAAAAUGAACUCCAAAGAGAAGAGAUCAGUCAUCUUAUCCAAUGACCAUGCACAAUAAAAAGAUUCUCAAUAUGGUAAUUCGUGACAGGUUUUUUUCCCUUUGCAUCCUGUUCUAUAGGGGAGGGCAUGGAACAGCCGAUUGGGACAUAAAGAUUAACAUAAUCUACACAGUAAACACAUACUCGCAAUUUCUUCAAUAAGUUCAAUGCCUCCAACAAUGUCGGCACCUGCAGCUCUAGCUUCUUCUGCCUCUGCUCCUUCAGCAAAGAAUACCACUUUCAGAACCUUCAAACCAACAGAAGAAAAAGGCCUUACCAUAGUUAAUAAAAGCAAAUAACAAUUUCUGGUUGCACGUAACAUAAUUCACAAUGCUUACCUUCUCUCCCCCAUGUGGCAAAGUUAAAGUGCCCCGAACAAUCUACAGUUUGAUAUGCAGUGUGUCAGUAUAGUCAAAACAUUAUUUGCGCACGGGGGCAAAGAUAUGACAAGGCAUUAAAGCGUUACUCGAGCUAUGACAGUUUGAAACUUUUAACAUGCGAUUUGCAGUACAAUUUGCAGCUACUAUGGCUGAGGGAAACAGAUAAAAAUGGUAGCAAUCGGUAGAAAGAAUUCUAAACAACACAUAUAAAAUGAAUCGGAAUUUUUCUGUCUCUAGUAGAUAAAACUUCAGGAUAUCAUCAUAAUCAACUACUAAUACAACUCAAGCUACUAAGACAUGUUCAAAGCAUACUGUUUGAAUUCAGCUACUUGAAAUCCUCACUUGUGAGGAAAGCAAAGCUUAUAUAUUUCUGUCAACGGCAAAGUAAUCCGAUGAAUCUACCUAUUCAACUCAACACCCACCAGGUCUGAUCGAGAUUUAUCGAUCCCCAAUCUCGCAUGCGCUUCAAUAGUUUCAUCAAAGGUCGUCCUGGCGUUGCCCUGACCAGUUGAAAGAAACAAUCCAACAAAAAAUUAGAAUCUGAAAACAACCUAUAUAAUAACAUCAUCCAUUUUACAUGUAACCAAACAGACAGUAACCUUGACUUGGCGAAUGGCGUCCAUCAAUUCCAGAAGUGGCCUCUUCUCUUUCUUCUUCUCCGGUACGAUCAAUCUAGGAAAAGGCACAACAGCCUGCUCUGUUUGUUCCUCCAUCCUCAAAAUCCUCCUCAUCGCCCUAUUCUCCGUUUCAACCCGGCGAACCUCGGUCUUCAUGUCCUCGCCGUCCUUUGCACUCUCUUGCAUUUCACCUUCCACCUUGUCCUCCGGCAAGGGCGCCACACGAGGCGCAUACGAAAUUGGUACAACGAAUGGCGCGUCUUUCACAUACCUGGCGUCCUCCCGACUCCAAUUCGAUCGAACCUCCGACGAAUUUUGGAAUCCUCGCGGCUGUCUUGAGAACUGCUGUUGCGGAGGAGGCUGAUCAUUCGUCGACGACUCUUUACCGGUCUCCGCCGUCGGUUCCUUUGGCUUCGGUUCGUAGGAAACUGGCUGGACUAGGACAGGUUGACUUCGUGGAUUCGGAGCCGGCGUUGGAGUUCCAUUGGGGUCCGAAUCGGAGGAAAACCAACUCCGAGAUAUCAAGGACUGAGAGGAAUGGAGGUGGAAGGGAACCCUGGCAGGGAAGUGGCGACGGGCUUGGGAGAAGAGGACCUUCGUCACUGCCAUUUUCAGCUUCAGUUCUGAUGGCGGAGUGACUGACUACCGACGGGACAAAGAUACAGAAAUUAAUUAGGGUUUUAGAUGGGGGAGUCGACACUGAGAGUCCCAAGGUUUAACAAACUAUCAUAAUGGUCCCUAAGUUCUAAAAUCCAUCAUAUUAGUCCCAGCGAGAUUUCCUGUUGUGAUUAAAAGAAGUUAAAGCCAUAGGGAGUCUCUAGCCCGGUUCACUAUUUUUUUUAUGAAAGGCGAGAUUUAUUGUUAGAGAAAGAAGAAGAACGUAUAUGAAGCGAAAAGAAGUUCAAGAACAAAGAAAAAGUUUUUCGAAUUGAGAGAAAAUAAAGCAGUUGUAUGUUCGAUUUUAUUAUCGUUGUUGAUCCAAAUUUGUACAAAGACGAAUUGACCAACAAAAUUGAGUAUGGAUACAAAUUACAAAACAAUCUCUUCAAACAAUUAAACGGACACAAAAGGAAGAAGAGAAAAUUACAUUAUAAAGAGAAAACCAGGGAAAGAGAUUAUGGAGGAUUGGUUCUGACUUUGUAUAUUCUUCUUCAUAAAUAACAAUCCUCCUUCGAAGCGAUUCCGGCCGUACUCAUCCAACGAAAAAUCAUAUUAGAGAUGCGAUUGAUAAUGUCUUUAGUUGAGGAACACUUAUCGCGGAACACUCUAUUAUUCCUUUCUAACCAUAUCAUCGAAGAAGUUCACUAUUACAUAUGCUUCCCUCUUUUGACUACAUCAAACGAUUUAGAUUGAACAUCCGCAUUUAAUGCUGAAUAAUUGACUACUCUCGCCACACAAUCAGAAGCUAGACGUUUUUGUUUCUUAAACCUCUCUCAUACGUGUAAAAAGUUGGGAUCGGUACUGCAGACUCAGCUCUACUUCUCCAUAACAACCGCCGUUUCCCCAAUCCAUAUCUUCUCUUUCCCUUGCUUUUAACAUCCAUCUCAUCUUCCCCAUUUUUUCAACUCAUCCAAACCUUAGAAUUCCGUAAUAAUACUGAUCCAAUUUGUAGAAGUUCCGAUCAUGGAGGAGCAGCCUGGGGAAGAAGACGAGGGUGGGGGCGAUCGGCCUUGGUAGAAGAUAUAGAACACAGAGCACCCGAAGAACGAUAAGGCACCGUCGAUGAAGGAUUUUUGGGGAUUCCGCUUCAAUGGUGAGAUAUGCGGUAACCUACCUUAUUAUAUCUCUGAUGUAUUAUGUUUAGACGUAGUACUAUACGGAACAUCUUAUAGUCAAUAUUGCCAUACAUUUCAACCCUAAACCUUUAAAAGAAAAUUUUUUUAUUUAAUUAUUAUUUAAAGAGUUUAAUGUGAUGAAUUUUUUAUUUUUAAUCAUUUCCAAUAUGCAUGUUAAAUAUUAAUAAUUUGAAAUUUUUUAUUUUUUAUGUUAAAAUCGGUCAAUUUUUAAAUAGGUUAUAUGCAUGUUAAAUAUUAGCCAAUUUUCAAUUUUCAUGUUAAAAUCAAUUUUCAAAAGGGUUAACCUAUGAAAAAGAACCAUUUUGACAUGAAAAUUUCAAAAUUUUCAAAUCGGCUAAUAUUUCACAUGCAUGUUGGAAAUGACUAAAAAUCAAAUUUCACUAUGAUAACCCCGUAAAUAAUGAUCAAAGGAAAUUAAAAAUCAACUUUACUUGGUGUUAUAUAUGUUAGUGUUGAAAAUUUUCAAAUUGGCUCACUUUAUGCUUGUUGAGUCGUCGUUACAUGAAUUGCGUUUUCUCAACUUCGACUAUAAACAAUUUUGUGAGAAUCAAAUCGUUUUAUCAUNNNNNNNNNNNNNNNNNNNNNNNNNNNNNNNNNNNNNNNNNNNNNNNNNNNNNNNNNNNNNNNNNNNNNNNNNNNNNNNNNNNGUGAGUUUGAAAUUUGUAUUUAGGGUGAACGUUUUACAUGAAUUAGUGUGACACUUUUGUAAAUGCCUAGAUGAGCUAUAAUGCUAUUUAACAAUAAUAAUUAAAAUUCUUUAAAAAAUAUUUUUUUAAUUUUAUUUGGAUAUUAUUUGAAAAGAUUAAUAUGGUGAAAUCUUAAUUUUAAAAAUUCUCAAUAUACAUGUCAAAUAUUAACCAAUUUAAAAAAAAAAAUUUACAUAAAAGUUGGUCAAUUUCGGUGUGUUAUAUUAUGAAAAUUUAAUCAUUUUCACAAAAUAAAUUUAAAAUUUUUUAAUCAAUUAAUAUUUAAUAUGUAUGUUGAAAAUGACUACAAAAUCAAAGUUUAACAUGGUAAAACCUUAAUUAUUUUAUUUUGAAUAAUGCUUUUUGUAUAAAUGACUAUAUGAUUGACUAGAGAAGUUUGCUUGCAUUUCUUUAGUUGAUAUUGCAUGAAUAUGCUUAGUCUUAUCAAGUAUAAAUACUUGUUCUUCUGAGAGCAUAACCUUUUCAAUGGCCAUAGCAGUUUCUAACAAGCCAUUGUUUCUUAUCUGCAGUGUCUAACAAGCCAUUUCGAGGCAAAAUGCGAGAAUUAAAUCUAUGACCAAAAUAAAACGAUUAAAUUUUAAUUUUUUAUAAUGAUUAGUUAUUUUGAUUUUUCCCGUUGGAAACUAUCGAAGAGAAGAACAUGAACUUUGACUAUUGGCCGUUAUAGAAAUGCCGGAUGCUAACUGUAAGCAAAUGUGGGGAAAGGUUAGAAUAAACUUAGAACAGAACUACACAUUUGGCGCUGAUUUGACUCGUCGACGAUUGACUCCAAUCUUGUUGGAUAAACUGCCGGCCAAUUCCGGCGGCAUCUCAGAUUGGAGUUAACACAUAACGUCAAACAAAAAAGUUGCAUGGCUUUGUGGGAAUUUAUAUUAUUUUAUUUUAUAAUUGGAUUGUGCAAAUUAAUAAAUGACAAGGCAUAGCAUAUAAUAUAUAUAUCGCGUUGUUUCCAUCGACCAAGUCUGCCGCCGUCUUGCUGCCGGCGGGGCAAACGGACGAAGAAAAGCAUCCAAAAAAGGCCAGUUCCUUGCCAGGUAUGAUCACCGGCGGCGGCCCGUACCCGCCAUAACCGCAGGAUAUUUCAAUACUUUCUGCUUUAUCCAAUUUUUCAUAACUAUAACUGUCUGCUUAACCAAUUUUCAACUACUUAUGAUCCUUUGUACUGGUCAAUGAAUCAAAAAAUAUAUUUAAAACAUAAUUUGGGUGCUGAAAUUGAGUAUGGAUAUAGUUUGUGUUGGGAGGGAAACGAUUUGGAUGGUACUAGUAUGAUAUAAAUACCUAUAAUAUAAAUUAUAGUUAAGCUGGUUGUUACUAUUAAAGUGUAUUAUAUUUUUUCGAUGAAUAUUUAUGUCAUAUUUAUAUCGUCUAAUAAAAUUUAUGUUGUUGUUUGGUGGAAAUUGUUUUGGUGGAGUUAUGAAUUGGACUGAACCGAAUUAUGUUUUGAAAAAAAGAAGGUGAUAAUUGGUAUGAGAACAUUGAGUUAUCGAGUGGUUGGUCCUCAUUUGACCAAACUAGAUAUUCAUAACGUAUAUGCUCCCCAUUUAACAUAUUAUCACACGUACCUCUCUAGAUAUUCUAAUAUAUGAUUUCUUUGCUUCACUAAGUUUAUCUCUCUCAUCACAUAUCCGUCCGCCAUAAAGUUUCAUCCUGUUGUCUGACUUGGACUUGGAAAUUUAUAUUAAACCGAUUUUAUCACUUGAAACACGUUGAGAUUGAUAAAUAACUAUCGAUAGGUAGAAAAACUUUAGCAAUUACUUUCCGGAGCACUAGCUAAAACGUGACAUCAAUUCGAUGAGUUACUUUUUUUAACAGUUUUAGUUAUUAAAACACACACAUCUUUAAAAAUAAUAAUGUAUUACAAUGAGUUUACAAUUCUAUAGUUAUAAUAUUUAUCUACUUAUAUUAAUAGUCCAAUUUUAAAAUGUACAAAACAGUGGGAUACUUGUGGCUCAUCAACCAAGGGAAAAUUGUUUCCAAUUCAAUUAGGUGAGAACUGUUCUCUUGUUUGAUUACACAAAGCAUUCUUCACUUUGGCAUUAUAUAUAACAACAAUGAUCUCGAUUCUAUAAUCUAACAAUUCACCUUAACCAAGUCAACAAGUCAUCGCUCGUCACAACGGUCCUACCGCCCAACUAAAUGAUUAUAUAAAGUUGAUACAUCCUACAAUUAGUUAGUUGCAUUAUGUAUUCGUAAUUUGAAAAUAUUUAGUUGAAAUUUAACGUAACUGAAGGUAUCAUUUUUUCGCUCACAAAGCAUCAAUUCCAUCAUAAAACAGGCGAAAUUUGGAUUCAAGGGCAAAUCUGAAUCACUCUAAACGGAACUCGCAUGUUGGAAUCAGGCAUAAGUAAGCCUCCGAACCCAACGAAAUUGAAAAUAUAUAACGCUUUGUGAUAGUGAAAAACGUAUCAGGCUGAAUUAAUUUGACGUCCGCAAUUAAUCCCUCAAAUCUAGCUAAUUCCACAGGAAUAUGACCGCGAAAAACAAUACCUAGUGUCAUAUCAUCCUUACCUCGCUUAUCUAAAAAAAAUAUAAAAUCUGAAGAAUAUGGUGUAAGCAGGAAUAGGGUGAAUUAUAUGGAAUAUAAUCAAUAAUACUAUACAGGCCUAAAUUAGGGUAGAAAUCUACAUUUAAAUUUGGAUUCAAAUUGAGUAAACUCAGGUAAAAAAAGUUUACUUUUUAAUUUGUAAUUAACUAAAAUAAAAGUGGAAUGAGAGUGAACACAACCUUACUUAAUCAUUUUAAUUCCCUCCUCCUCGCCAUCAUCGCAAGUUCCGGACUCCACAGCCUGCUCUGUUUCUUCUUCUUCUAAUUCCAAGUUUUUACAUCACAACGAAACCAACCGGAAUCGUUGAAUCGCCACCGAUGCCGCUGUUCAGCGACUCGGCUACCGUCGGACUCCUCGCUGGGAAACAACAGGUCACCGUCUUCGUCAGCUCUGGCCCGCUCUACCUUUCUUCCGCCGGCAAGAAAGUUUUCCACCACGUAGAUUACGGAACGCAGGUCUCGCAGCUCCUAGUCGACUCCGUUAACCGCAACGACACCAAUUCAGCGAUCGGAUUCCUCGAUGAUCCGUUCUGCGACGUCAACUUCAUCGGCACCGUCAGCCUCCGGUCUCGGAAGACGGAGGUCGUGCUGAACGGCGAGUCCGCUCACGAGGUCCGAUUCGAUUACGAGGAGUUCAGGACCGACGUCACCGCUCUCUUCCUCGCCGCUCACUCCGGCAACUCGCCUCUCGUCAGGAAGUUGCUGGUAAAUUUGUGUUCAUCUCUUGAGCAGAGUAAUCCAUUGAAAUCAUUUUGAUUUUGAUUUUGAUCGAUUUAGGUUAAUAUGUUUAUUUUCCCCUUCAUUUCGGGCAGAAUCUGGGAGCCAACCCGAACCAGAAGCUGUUCCGAGGCUACGCGACAACUGCAGCUGUAAGGGAAGGUCAUAUGGAGACAGUGGAGGCGCUAAUGAAAGCGGGAGCGUCUCAGGAGGCUUGCGAGGAAGCUUUAAUGGAAGCGAGCUAUUUCGGUCAAGCUAGGCUGGCGGAGAUGCUCAUGAGCUCCGAUCUCAUACGCCCCAGAAUUGCAGUUCAUGCUCUUGUCUCCGCUUCCUGCAGGGGUUUCGUUAAUGUUGUGGACGCGCUCCUUAAGGCAUUUCAUCGAACAUGUUGCCUACUACAUUGAAAAUUCCGUCGUCGUUAGUUUUCAUGUGUUAUAUUAUAAUUGUGUUUUCUUCUUCUUCAUGAUAGUGUGGAGUAGAUGCCAACGCCAUGGAUCGGAUCCUGCUUCAAUCUUCCAAGCCGAUGCUUCACACGAACGUUUACAGUAACGCUCUUGCGGCCGCCGUUGUUAGCAGACAAAUCUCUGUAGUCAGAUUGCUCUUGCAGGUAACCAUUUAUCUCAUUAAUUACCAUUGGUUGCCUUAAAAUUUGAAUUUCUUCGUUCUAAAAAUGUAUUAAAAUUAUUUAAGUGUCCUUUGUUAAAUUUGAAUUUCUUGAAUGUCUUGAUAUGUUGAUUAUAGCCCACACGUAUGGACUAUAUAGUGUAUAUAUCAAUGAUAUAUCCUCACAUGAUGGUGAUGUGUUGCUAAAUGGCAGCACACCUUGAUCAAUUAGAUUUUUUUUUCUGAAAAUAGGCAUUAAAAAUUAGGAUAUUUAAAUUUUAAAAAUAGAUUAAUUGUAAAUAUUGAGAUACUUUUUAAAAAUCAAGACAAUUAAAUUUUGUUCCCGGGGUUUUAAUAUGGUCAUUAAAAACUGAAAUUAGGUGUUGAUUUGGUCAUUACAAAUUUAAAUUAAGUGCUGAUUUGGUCAUUAACAUCUGUUACCAAGGUUCAUUCAAAAAAAGGGUCCUCAAAGUUUUAACUUGAUACUUAUACGGUACUUAAAGUUAGGGUUACUAACUUACCCCUAACCUGAUUAACCAAUUUGAACCAAAUCGAAAUUGGACCGGUUCUGACUGAUUUUGGUAAACAGGCAGGGGUGAGAGUGGACACCAAGGUGAGAAUCGGCGCGUGGUCGUGGGACAUGGAAACCGGAGAAGAAAUCCGAGUCGGAUCAGGAUUAGCCGAAGCCUACUGCGUCACAUGGUGCGCAGUGGAGUAUUUCGAGUCCACGGGAGCUAUCCUGCGCAUGCUCCUCGGCCAUCUCCUCCCUAACGUAACCCAUCUCGGAAGGACUCUGAUUCACCAUGCUAUCCUCUGCAACAAUGCCGAAGCGGUUAAAGUCCUCAUAAACGUCGGCGCAGAUGUAGAAUAUCCAGCCGUAACUUCGAGAAGCCAAGUCCGGCCGAUCCACUUAGCGGCGAGGCUCGGAUCUGCUAGAGUCAUCGAGCAGUUGAUCAGCGCUGCCGCCAACGUCGAUUCAAUGACAAACUCCGGCGAGACUGCGCUGAUGAUCUCUGCGAAGUGUAAGCAAGAGGAAUGCCUCAAGAUUUUAGCAUCUUCCGGUGCCGAUUUUGGUUUGCUCGAUUCCGAUGGCGAUUCGGUUGUGUCGAUCGCGAGGAAGGGAAAUUGGGAGCUAGGGUUUCAACAGGCGGUGAUGGAGGUGAUUCGGUCGGGGAAGAGUUUGAAAUCGAGCAGUUUUGCGGUUUUUUCUCCGUUAGCGUUCUCGAUUCGAGUGAUGGAUCUCCAAGCGCUGAAGAAGCUGACGGAGAAAGCGGACGUGGAUCUCGACGAACAGGACGGAGAUGGUUUUACUGCUCUGAUGGUGGCCGCCGCCGGAGGCCACAUCGACGCUUUCAGACUGCUUCUCCAAGCAGGAGCGGACGUGAAAUUGAGGAACAAACGGGGAGAAACGGCAAUGAAUUUGGCAGAAUUGAAUCGAAACCGGGUCGAAUCGUUCGAGAAAGCUCUCAUCCAGUACGGAUUCUACCAAAUGAAUUGCUCGGUUGUCGGAAACAACGCCCUGCAUCGCGCCGCCGUGAGAGGCGAGCUAGUGUUAGUCCAGACGCUAAUCGCACAGGGCUGCGACGUGAAUGCCUCCGACGGCGACGGAUACACCCCGCUAAUGCUCGCAGCGAGAGGCGGGCAUGGAAAAAUCUGCUCGCUCCUCAUCUCAUCAGGAGCGAGAGUCGAUUUCAAGAACGAGAGGAGCGAGACGGCGCUGCUUCUGGCGAGGAAGAGCAGCGGCGGCGGGGGAGAGGCGGCGGAAGUGAUUUUAGACUACAAGGCGCGGGAGAUGGUUCUGGAAGGCGGCAGGUUGAAGAAGCAUACGAGGGGCGGGAAAGGGAAGCCGCAAUACAAAUCGGUGGAGAUGGUACCCGCGGAGGGGGUUCUCCGGUGGCAGAAGUGGUGGUGGUGGUGGGUGAAGACGAGCGUGGUGUGUAAGGAAGCGAAGGUUGGUCCGGCGACGAAGUUCCGGUGGAACCGGCGGAGGGCUGCGGACUUGGAGGAGCCCGGGUUGUUUCAUGUGGUGACUACGAAGGGGAAGGUUGUGCAUUUCGUAUGUGAAGACGGUGGGGAUGAGAUGGCGGAGCUUUGGGUCAGAGGGAUUAAGAUCAUCACUCGGGAAGCCAUUUUUGGCAAGUGUUAGUCGUGAAAUCCUUGGGUCGUUAGGAUUUUCUGGUUGUGUGUGUUUUUUCAUUUAGUUUGGAGAAGGGAGAUUAUACAUAGCAAAGUGUUGUGUGUAGAUAAGUGUAAUUGUGAGGGGGUGUAGAACUCGACAUAAUAAUUCAUCAUCUUCAAGUUAGGUAAAAGGCUAUAUAUUAACAGUGUGUUAAUUAUUCAAAUACUCAUAAAACUCAUUUGACUAUGAUGAGAUAGUUCAAAUUAACAUUAAUUACGAAAUAUGACUAUGAAAUUUUUUAACUAAUUAUACUAUAAUCAUAACUAUAUUAAAUUCUUAUAACAACACGAGUUUAAAUAUAUUUUACACUAAUUAAAGUGUCAUUAGAGUCUCGGCAAGUUACGAAAAUUCAAAUUUAUGUGGAAAGAAAUUGUUAUUUAGUUCGGAGAAAAAACUGUUAGGUGACCAUUUUGCAGCACCCAAGAGAUAAGUGACGAGAAACGAUCAUUACUAGAAGUAUUCUUAUUUUUUUGAAAUACCAGAAGUCUUCUAUUUCUCUUCUUUUCCAACUUUUCGAACCUCACCAAAUCCCAAUCCCUCGCGCGCACUUUUACUGUACUGCUCGAGUUCAAGUCCUUUCUCUUCCUCUUCGAUUCCUAAGACGGAAAAGAGCUUCUACGAACUGAUUCAUCCAUGGCGGCGCAUCUUCCCAUAGUCCAAUUCGAGGAGCAAAUCAUCAGAACUGUUCAAGACAAUCGGGUGGUGGUCGUGAUCGGAGAGACCGGUUCGGGGAAGAGCACCCAGCUCUCUCAGAUGCUCCUCCGCCAUGGCUACUCCAAGUCCGGAAUCAUAGGCGUUACUCAGCCCCGUCGAGUUGCCGCCGUCUCCGUCGCCAGGUACUGCUUCGGAAUUUCACUGUCUGGACUGUCAUAACUGGAGAAUGCUAGUGUUUUUAUAUUGUUUCCUGUAUUUAGACGAGUUGCUCAGGAACUUGGCGUUAAGCUUGGGGAGGAAGUUGGUUAUGCGAUUCGGUUUGAGGAUAGGACUUCGGACUCGACACGGAUUAAGUAAGGGAACUUCGAGUUGGUUCUUAUGGUUUUUGUUACAUGUUAUUAGGUUUUCAUGCUGUGUUGGUCUCUUGCUUCAGCUUUGUGUACUGUUUAGGUACCUUACUGAUGGAGUUCUUCUCCGGGAAAGUCUAUCUGACCCCGAGCUUAGUCAAUAUUCGGUUAUAAUAUUGGAUGAAGCCCAUGAGAGGAGCUUGAACACGUAAGUUCUGCAUUCCGGAAAAGAAUAGUUUUUGACAAUAUUUGUAGCUUCCACUAAAGAAAAAUCAGCUGAGAGUUACAGUUGUUAAUGACCUUUUUAGGGACAUUUUACUGGGACUGGUGAAGCGAUUGACGAAAAUGCGUGAAUGCAAAUUGAAAGUUCUGAUCACAUCUGCAACUCUAGAUGGGGAGAAGGUGUCGGAGUUCUUUUCGGAGUCCCCAAUUCUGAACGUCCCCGGGAAGCUGUUUCCUGUGGAAGUAGUAUACAGCAGGGAGCGUCCCAUAAGUUAUCUCGAGUCUUGCCUCAGAACAGCUCUUGGUAUUGACGAUGUGUUGUUAGUUUUUCUGCUCUAGUGUUCCUCACAAGACACGUGCUUUGACAAGCCAUGUUCAUAAGGUUGCAUUCUGUUCUUCUUUUUCUUGUAGAUAUACAUCGUAAGGAACCUGAAGGGGAUGUGCUAAUAUUCAUGACUGGACAGGUGAGGUUGCAAAAGUUGCCUCUUCAGUGGUAUGGUCUGGACUGGACUAUGUUGUUAUGCUUGUAUUGAUUUUCAAAAGUCUGAUUCAGCCUUUUGCAGGAUGAUAUUGAGAAGUUGGUUGCAAAAUUGGAGGAAAAGAUUCGAGGCCUAGAGGAAGGUUCCUGUAUGGAUGCAGUAAUCCUUCCUCUUCAUGGUUCUUUGCCUCCUGAAAUGCAGGUUAAUGUUUUUUUUUAAUUUCCUUAUUCUAAUUAAACGAAGUAGCUUGUGAUCCUGUGUAUUAUCUUUAAGUUCAUAAUUUUCCUAUAUACAGGUGCGUGUCUUCAGUCCUGCUCCUCCAGAUUGUAGGCGAUUUAUUGUUGCUACCAACAUUGCUGAAACUUCUUUGACGGUUGACGGAGUAGUGUAAGGAGUUUGAUGGUGUAUUUCUUUUGUUCCUGUUCUGAAUCUUUGUUUACAUGUUUUCUCUUUCUCCUGUUUAAUGAAUUUUGAAAUUUUUCUCGGGUGAAAAUCAUGGAUAAUCGCAGGUAUGUUAUCGAUUCGGGUUAUGUAAAGCAAAGGCAGUACAAUCCAUCAACUGGCAUGUAUUCUCUUGAUGUUGUUCAGAUCAGCAAGUAAGUACUUUCAUUGCUGUGGCAUUUGUCUGUUCUUUCCUGUUUUUUCUAGGAGAACUGUUGGUUACUUUUUUUGUCUUCAUGUGUUGAAUCGAGGACUACUUAUUCUUCUUCAUAGGCUCUCUUCAUGUUUUCAAAUCAAGAACUCCACAGAUAUUGCCUUCUCGGAAGGCUGCUGUCACUUUUUAUUAUCUUCUAAGAAUCAUUCUUAAGUUGAUUUUCUGUGCGUUAUCUAAACGAUUGAGUUUGUGUUGUGGCAGAGUGCAAGCAAACCAGCGUGCAGGAAGAGCAGGAAGGACACGUCCGGGGAAAUGCUAUAGGUUGUACCCUUCCUCAGUGUAUCAAGAUGAAUUACUUGACGUAACUGUCCCUGAGAUACAACGAACUUCACUCGCUGGCACUGUUCUUUACUUGAAAUCAUUGGACCUUCCAGACAUUGACAUUUUAAAGUUUGAUUUCCUGGAUUCACCUUCUGGUAAUCCUUCUCUCCACACAUAUCUUUAUGUUUCAUAACCUUCUUUUACUGAUCUUAUGCAAUGUAAUCCAGCUCACAUUUAAUUCUUCCCCUCACAUUUGCUAGUAGUAAGAGGACAAUGGUAUAAUUGACCUCAUUUCUCUAUUGCUGCAGCUGAAUCGCUGGAAGAUGCUUUAAAGCAACUUUAUCUUAUUGAUGCUAUAGAUGAAAACGGAGCCAUCACAACUGUAGGACGAACAAUGGCUGGUAUGGAUACUUCAUCUGUUUAUGAAAUGAUGGCGAUUUACUAUACAAAUGUCUUUGUUUUUGAAUUUUCUGAAAAAAGUCAGACCUGGUGGGAGGCAGUUGUCUGACUCUCCCUCCGUGGAGUUAUAAAGAGAGCUUUACUAUAUGGAAGAGAAGUUCAUGUCCUGUUAUAUUUGUGCAGAACUACCACUAGAGCCAUCACUUUCCAGAACAUUAAUGGAAGCAAACGAGAAUGGUUGCUUAUCCCAGGCUUUGACUGUUGCUGCUAUGUUGUCAGCAGAAACUACAUUGCUUCCUAAUCGAAGGUCAGUUUGAUGCUGUGUAAAUCUGUUGGCUCUUUUAUGGUCUUUGUGCUGUACUCUGUUCUUUCUUUGUCGUUUUAGCAGAACAGUUAUUAACUUAUUGAUUCUCUUUAACUUUCAUAUGGAUUUGUAAUUCGUUGUUUUUGGUCGUGUUGGACACUAAUGUCUAUCGUAUGCCCCAAAACCUUUCAAUCAGAUACUCUGUUAUAGCUAAUGAUAAAUUCACCUGUCUUCAUGCAGUAGCAAAAACAAUGAAAAGAAGAGGAAACAAGAACCUUUAGACCUUCCUGAUGGGUCUGGUUUUGGUGAUCACAUCCAGAUGCUACAGAUCUACGAGCAGUGGGAUGAGUAUGACUAUGACAUCAGGUGGUGCAGAGAUCAUGGCUUGCAGGUACCAGAUCACUUACAUGCUAACAAAAGGUCAAAUUGUAGGCACUAUUUUAGCUUUCGGUGCUCAAAUUCAAAAAGAAUUAGUAUCUUCUUUUCUCAGUGAUGAUCCAUAAUUUGAACUCUGUUGAGAUUGCCGGUACUAACCCUUACUCGCAUGUACUAUUUGCAGGAGCGAGGAAUGGUGUUUGUUAAAGAUGUACGUAAACAGCUGUGUCAAAUAAUGCAGAAAAUCGCAAAGGGUUAGUACUUCAUGCCUUUACUCACGCGGAGCUUCUUAAGUUAUGAAUUUGGCGAAUGCAGAAUGGUGUCCCGAUUUUUGCCGUCAUAGCCCAGUAACUAGUUAGUCCUAUGCUGUUUUCUGCUUUAGCAAGGGUUUAGACCUAAGCAUCUCUAUUUGUGUGUAUGUGUGUGGAAGCAGGUUCAACAGAUGUUAGAGCAACUCGCAGAUACAGAGAUGGCCAACAUGAUUGCAAGAAUCUAAGGAAGGCCUUGUGUGUAGGCUAUGCAAAUAAGCUUGCGGAGAAAAUGGUUCAUCACAAUGGCUACCGAACUAUAGGUUUCAAACCCCAACUUGUUCAGGUAUCCCAUAAUCCAUUAACUUGGCUCAAAAUACGAAUUUCGAAGUAUUGCAGUACUGACUCGAGAUCUGUUCUCGUUUUAAGGUCCACCCAUCUUCUGUGCUGAAACCUGACGACGAUGGUAUGUUCCCAAACUACGUCGUGUACCACGAGCUCAUCGCUACCUCUCGUCCGUUCAUGCGGAGCAUCUGCUGCGUAGAGAUGCGAUGUGUCGUCCCGAUUCUCAAGAAACUCGAAAAGCUUGACGUCAACAAACUAAGGUAAUGAAACUUCAUUACUUGCUUUCCAAGCUUCAGUGAUGGAUUUUUCUGUGAGGUUUGUUAUCCUAAAUAUCACUAUAUGUGCUAUGUCUUGGUGCAGCGGAGGGCUUCAUCGCAACGUUGGAGGUAAUGAGAAGACCUUAGAGUUGGUGGAGAAGAAGCCUGUUGUUGCUGCAAUUCCUGAUGAUAGCGAGAACAGAAUCCUGGCUGCUCGUGAACGGUUUCUUGCUCGAAAAGGUAGCAAAUGAGAGUCCGGCUUUCGUCAAAAGAGUGAAUGUGUAAUCAUACGGUGACAGCCAUGGCAGCAGGUUAUCGAUUGUAGUCGGUCAAAAUUGAUGGAAAGAUGGCUGGUGUAACUUAGUAUAAACUAUAGUGGCAUAUCACGCAGUUUGUUACUAUAAUAGUACUCGAUGUAUGUAUUCGAUAACAUGUGCUGACAGAAUGCAUCCGAAAUUGUUACUAUCAUUGGAAAAAAUGUCCGAUUCCACGGACGAUUAAGGUGCACUAGUAAACUCAGCCAAUUAAUAUGAACCUGGCCGAGCUGGUAGACAAUUCAAAGCAUUUACAGUACAAACAAUCUAGCUCUGACAAUUCGAAGCAUUUCGGCCAUGAAAUUCGAAUCCUCUGAAACUAUCAGGAAUUUUAAUUACCAUUUCGGCCAUGAAAUUCGAAUCCUCUGAAACUAUCAGGAAUUUUAAUUACCAUUCUGAAAUCAAUCAAUUAUCAUACGGAACUGUUCCAACGGAGCCUUACAUUGAUAUGCACAAGUAAUCAGCAGCUACUAUCAAUAUUCUCGUAAUGUUGAAGAAGCUAAACAACUUGGCUACUUGGGGAAAAAUUCAGUUACCCAAUUGUUUUUUUUACAGACGGAGGCCGGCGAAGAGCAACUCGAGCUCCUCAUCCUGAGAGAUGGUCCUGGGUACAGAGAGGAGCUGCAAGAUUUUGUUGAGCACUCGCAGGCGGUGGGCGGCGUAGUUGCUGUUUGCCGGAAGCUUAUUCAUCCUCUUCAUCUCUUCCUGAAUCACCGCCUUCUUCUCCUCCUCACUAACCAUUUGCUUCCACUCGUGAGAAGAUUGAGGGGCGGCGACGGCGACGGUGGAUGUGAUAUCCAUUAGCUGUGGCUGAUUGUGAUCUGUUGCCCGGAGUAUGAAUUGUCGAAGGAUCAGGGAUUGACUGAAGAAAUCUCGGAGAACCCUAACUAAGAAGAAGGUCGAUAGGGAAAAAAAAUCAGAAAUAAACUUGUGGUCAGUGGUCACCUAACUUUGAGCUAAAUAUCAAAGUGGUCACUCGAAUUUUAUUUGAUUUUCUUUUGUUAAAAAUGCCACAUCAACAAAGCCAUAUGUAUAUUAAAAAAUUCAAGAACUAAACGAAUCUAAAUCAAAUAAAAUUCGCGAUUUUGAUUAUGAAUUGAGUUUCCACACCAAUAACAUCAUCCUCUCUGUAAUUCAACGAUCUAUAUUUUCUCAUCUGAUCUUCUUCCUUAGCUUCUAUCAUUUUGUUUUAACACCAUUACCUCUUCCUCAACCUCUCAUUGUUGCUCUCUUGCUCGAUUAUGAUAAAUAAGUCGAUCUUUUAAAGAAAUCAGUGACAUCGUCAUACCGAUAAUUCAAUGACUAUUGUCCUCUAAUCCACUUUUCUUCCUCCAUCUCUAUAUCAUUUUGUUUGAACAACCUCCUCCUCAAAAUUAUAACCUGCUAUCUCCCUCAACUAUGUUUCAUAUUCAACAUUUUGUCCGUGUGCAAACUCAAACGUGAGGUUUUACCUCCAAAUCAACGCCCUCAGCCACAUAAAAUUAUUUUUUUUUCAAUUGUAUCUUUCGUCAAUAGUUAUGAAGAGAUUCAUCAACACUUGUAAUGAGCUACAUAGCUAGUAUUUGAUGACAGAAUUAACUACCCUCGCAACAUUACAAUGAAAUGAGAAGAUGAACAUGUCAUUGGUUUAUGAGUUUCGACUUGGAUCAGAAAAUUUAAUUAAUCAAAUAAGUUAGUCCGAAUGAGUUUUUAUUUUCAAUCAUCAGAAUGGAUUUUAAAUUAAAGUUAUAAUGCAACUAAUUCAACUAGUCAAAAAGUUUUAAUUUAGUUUUUUAAGACGACUUAGAAGGUUGACAAAAUAAAAAUAUUAUUAUUUUAAAUCGUAAUAAUGACUUGAUUUAUAUUUCAUUAUAUAAAAAAAUCAGACAAACCCAAAGUUUGGUGACUGAAAUAGUAAUUGACCCCAAAGUAGUCAUGAAAAUUGGCCAAUAAGAUGCAUGAUACAUGGGUGAUGAUGAGCUUGGUACGCGAACCGACGUCGAGUGUAUAGUGGAGAAUAAAUACGUACAAAAAACUUGUAAAAAAUUAAUUGAAGCAUCAAAUUUAUAAGGACUAAUAGGCCCAAUACGUUGGGUGCACAAAAAAUGGCACCAUUUUUUAAAUUACAAUUUAUGGUAUUGUUUUGAUUUGAACUUAAUGAAAAUUCGGUAUGUGUAUCGUUGAUGUUAAAAGGGGCGGAAUAACAUAUUUCGUCAUGAUAUGUGGAACACUAUAUAGAUUAAUAGAUUCGUCACAUCAUCUGAAUUGAGAUCUUAUAUUAUCCGACCCGGUUCUAUUCCGAUUUUAUCUAGACCGGUUUUAUCCGACCCGAUUCUAUCUCCCAUUUAAAUACUGUUGUUCUAGAGAAUUAGGGUUCCCAUUCUUUGUUGUUCUCUCCUAUCCUCUUAUCCUUUUAUUCCUCCCUAUCUUCGACCCCGCCGACUUCAAUUGCUUUCAGGUUUCUUUUCCGUAGCCAGCAUAGAAGCAAUAUGAAAGGAAUUGGUAGUUCCUCAUGCGAGUCAACAGGAUCGAAUUGGCCGAAUUGCAGGCACAAUCAAGUUGUCGCCAUGAUGGUUUUCGGCACUGGGAAGAACUCGGGCAGGAGAUUUUACUGAUGUUCGUUUUGGAAAGUAAUUUCGAUUUUGUUACCGAUAAUUAUGGUUGUGUGCUUUAAUGUUUAGGUUUGAGGUUUCUUCCGUUGGGUAGAUGAAGCUGAGAAGGGGAUGUCCAGAUUUUUUAUCGCUGACGUAGAUUCUUCUCACAAUAUACAUUCCCAACUACAAAAAAAAUUAACCGAAUAUAUUAACAGAUUAGUCAUUACUGAAUACAAAGCACAGAAAAGGAAACAUAAAUUAGCUAAGUUGAAGGCUGAGUUAUGUGAAUUGCGAGUUGCGUGCGAACCAUGUAUUCUACCCAACAACACCAGCCAUAAUCAAAUCUUUGCUUAAAAGGUGCUAUAGUCCAAAAGCUAGCCAUCACUCAUGUCGAAACAAAACUCACUUCUUGGUGUGAUCCUCACUGUUAAUAGAGGGAGAUGGUUAACAGUGCUUUCAAAAAACGACAGAUUCCGGCACUUGGAUCUACACUUCCUUUGACUCCAUUACUUCAGGGUUGUUGGUUUUGAACUGAGAAAGGUGAUAGAUGCAGAGAAGAAGGUAGAAGGUGAAUCUUCAAUCGCAAUAUUAGGGAUGGUCAAUAUUUAAGGUUAAAUCGGGUUUUGCAUGUCAAAAUAUCUGGAUCGAGUUUUGCGGAUCUUAAACGAUUUGUAGUUUGGGAUGACAUGAUAAAACAAUUUUUCGCCUCCCGUCAUGUCAUCUCUUAAUUUGCCAGAUAGGAUACGAGAUAAUGAUACAUCAAAUAACUUAACGGGGAUAAAUUCAAUUCAAAUUGAUACCAUAAAAAUUACAAUUCAAAAAGAUGGUGCCAUUUAACCCAAUAGAUUGGACCUUCUACGUGUAUUGGUUAUUAUGUCCUCGUGAAACACAGUCACUCCGUAUAAUGAGCUGAGAAAUCACCACAGCGAUGAAUUAUCCAGCAGCUCUUGUUAUCAUCCCAUUAUUAUCAUAUUCCCCAAUUUCAUGGAAGAACUCGCCGAAUCACAAGAUACCUCUUUUACAGAGAAAAAAUAAAUUCAGAAGCAGACAACAAAGCCUACUCACCAUUACACUAAUCAACUGUCCAAUGAUAGAUUGAAAGCAACAGUCUUGAACCCACUCCUCAUCACUCCCAGACGCUUCUCUCUUCAUUCUCGAUCCAGCAGUCCGCUCCUGCAAUCUCCGACUCUGCUUUGACCCUUUAGUCAGCUGAUUAUCGAGUGGGUUGACGACUUCCUGCUGUUGAAGAAGAAGAAUAACAAAAAAUGAAGCUUUCGCCGAGAGAAGUGGAGAAACUUGCGCUCCACAACGCAGGAUUCCUCGCCCAGAAGCGCCUAGCUCGUGGCCUCAAGCUCAAUUACACCGAAUCCGUUGCUCUUAUUGCUUCUCAGGUUCUUCCUUUUCGUCCCGUUCAAAGGUUUAGUUUCAAUAUUGGGCAGCUUUAGAAUUUUACUAGUAGUAGAGAACUGUUGGAUCCAUUUAACUCAAGUUUUCAUUUUGUACAAUAUUCCUCAAUACGCAGCCUCGAAUGAGAGAGUUUCGAAACUGAAGUUUACAAAGGUUCACUAAGCCUUGUUUGUUUGGGGGCUAAGAAGACUUGAUCCCAAUAACUCUGACUUGUUGGGAGAGAUUUCAGAAAGAACUAGUUCUAGUGUAACAAGAUGGGAGAUUGGUGGGGUUCUUUAGGAAUAAUGUAACAAUGAUUUUGGUGUGUUUUUUUUUUCUUAUUCUUCUUCUCGGGUUGUAGAUUUUGGAGUUUGUAAGAGAUGGUGACAAGAGUGUAGCAGAGCUUAUGGAUGUUGGGAGACAGCUUUUAGGAAGGUACAAUCUGCUUGUGUAAAGACUGUUCAAUAUACAUUAUGUGCUUGCUAUCUUGAGUAAUAUGAUUCCCCUUCUUUCUCCAGUAUGUACUGCAAACUUGCAGUUUUUUGUAUAUCUUAGCUACAGGAAGAAUGUCUAAAUGUGUUGCUAUCUUAAGUUAUCUGAUUCCCUUUUCUUUAUCUAGCAUGUGCUGAAAAUUGCAGUUUUUGUGCAUACUUGACUACAGGAGACAAGUGCUUCCAGCAGUUCCCAAUUUGCUUCAUUCUGUACAGGUACUUCAGAAAACCAACAUAUGUGUAACUGGUUUUUUUAAUUAGUUACAGCUUCAUUUAACGAACCAUUUGUACAAAAUCAAAAUUACAAGGAUGUCUCUAAUCGAACUUUUACAACCUUCCCUGGCAAUCAUCUUCCUAGCAAGCAACUAUUGUGUAGUCUCAUGGAGUUGAUUUUGAACUCUGUAGGUUGAAGGCACUUUUCCUGAUGGAACCAAGCUUAUAACUGUUCAUGAUGCUAUUGCUUGCGAGAAUGGGGAUCUCCAGCUGGCUCUGCACGGCUCUUUUCUCCCAGGUAAGUGCUGAAUUCUUGUAUGUGGAUUGACCAAGCUUUCUGUAUUUUGACCGAAAGAAACAAUUUCUGCAGUGCCUUCAACCGACAAGUUCCCCGGAAUCGAAAAGGCCGAAUUCCCCGGAGAGAUAAUCUACGGGGAGGGGACCGUAACUCUGAACCUAGGAAGGAAAGCUGUGAUCUUGAAAGUUGUUAAUACAGGAGACAGGCCGGUUCAGGUUGGCAGCCAUUAUCAUUUCAUCGAGACGAAUCCUUACUUACUCUUUGACCGGCUGAAGUCACUCGGGAUGCGCCUCAACAUACCUGCAGGAACGGCUACUCGAUUCGAGGUUCUGUGUUUAUUUGCUAAGUGUUGUUUUGUGGAUAGUUUUCGUGUUCUUGGUCGGUUGAUUUGUUUUGUGGUGUUGUUUAGCCAGGGGAAUGCAAGAGUGUUGUACUUGUUAGCAUUGCGGGCAAGAAGGUGAUCAGAGGUGGAAAUGGCAUCGUCGAUGGUCCUGUUAGCGAUUCCAGUAACGCUGUUGUAUUGGAGGUUAUAAAUAGCAGAGGAUUCGGGCAUAAAGAAGAAGCGAAUGCCAGGUUCUAACUAUGAACUCCUUUCUCCUCACUUUUCUACCAAUUCGGGCAGGAAUUGGAGUUGGAAUCGGGGCGGAAAUGAACCUAGCAAUGUUGGAAUGUUGGAUGGCAAUGAAAAAGUUCCCUCCCGAAAUCACUCCAUCGGGAUCUAACUUUUCUGCCCGAGCGAAAAAAUUCUCAAAUUUCUAUCCAACUUUCUACCCGUCAAACCGGUCAAUGACUAGAAUCGUAAGAAGAUCAACUAUACGAAGUUCGAACUAGAUUUGUCACACCUUCCAAAACUGUUUCUGCAGGGAAGGCACAACCGGGGAGGAUCCUGCUUUCACCACCGUCGUUCCUCGCGAGAUGUACGCUAACAUGUAUGGUCCCACAACCGGAGACAAGGUCCGUCUAGGGGACACGAAUCUCUACGCCGAGAUCGAGAAGGACUUUGCCGUGUUUGGCGAUGAAUGUGUGUUCGGAGGUGGGAAAGUCAUCAGAGAUGGAAUGGGACAGUCCGCUGGACAUCCACCGGCGGAAUCUCUCGAUACGGUUAUAACGAACGCUGUGAUCAUUGACUACAGUGGAAUCUACAAGGCUGACAUUGGCAUCAAAGGAGGCCACAUUGCUGCCAUUGGCAAAGCCGGAAACCCUGACGUCAUGGAUAGUGUUCAUGGCGACAUGAUCAUUGGUGUAAGCUUCCCACCCUAACCAUGGUACCCAAAAGAUUUGUUGAUGGUGACAAUAUGACUUGUUGGUCAGGUUAACACAGAGGUAAUUGCUGGAGAGGGGAUGAUCAUAACCGCAGGAGCGAUCGACUGUCACGUCCACUUCAUCUGUCCUCAGUUAGCACAUGAAGCAAUCUCGAGCGGUAAAGAUUCGAUACGUUACGUACAUUGCUCGAAAUCCUUGCACCCUGGAUCUUGAAAUCUGACGGCUAGAAAUGUGUACUUAGGCAUUACAACACUCAUUGGUGGUGGAACUGGACCUGCCGACGGCACACGCGCAACUACUUGCACUCCUGCUGCUUCACAAAUGAAGCUUAUGCUGCAAUCCACUGAUAACAUGCCUCUCAAUUUCGGCUUCACUGGAAAGGUAACGCUCGAAACUUCCAAGUGUCCUUUAUUUGAUCUCUUUUCGUAUGCUGAUUUCGAUUCCAGGGUAAUGCCGCGAAACCUGAAGAGCUCCACGACAUAAUUAAAGCCGGGGCAAUGGGACUGAAACUGCAUGAAGACUGGGGAACUACUCCAGCUGCAAUAGACAAUUGCUUAGCUGUAGCGGAUGAAUACGAUAUCCAGGUCGGUCUGAAGUUGCGAUAAAUUGGGUUUUCAGUACAGGUUUGAAGGCUUAAUUCCUCCAAUUUUUUCGCCAGGUUAACAUUCAUACUGACACCUUGAACGAGUCUGGAUUUGUGGAGCACACUAUUGCUGCGUUUAAAGGAAGGACCAUUCAUACAUAUCACAGGUAGCUUGCAGCACAAGUUUCAUCUUGUAUCUCAGUGUCUUGGUAGCCAAGUGACUAAUUCCGGCCCGAAAGCUGUUUGACAGUGAAGGUGCAGGUGGUGGCCAUGCUCCAGACAUUAUCAAAGUGUGCGGUGUUAAGAACGUCCUUCCUUCGUCAACGAAUCCCACGAGACCUUUCACUUCGAAUACGAUCGACGAGCAUCUCGACAUGUUGGUGAGUUGAUGAUUCUCAGACAUAUUGUGUAUUAACCACAGAAGGGUUUGUGAAAAAUGUUUUUGCUUUUUGCAGAUGGUUUGCCAUCACCUUGACAAGGACAUACCCGAAGACGUAGCUUUCGCUGAAUCGAGAAUUCGAGCUGAGACAAUUGCUGCAGAGGACUUAUUGCAUGAUAUGGGGGCAAUCAGCAUCAUAUCUUCUGAUUCACAAGCCAUGGGCCGGAUCGCAGAGGUAUACUUUUACAUUUUCGUAAACCCGGUUCACCGGAUUUCAAGCUAAUGUCCGGUUUUGCUCUCUACACAAGGUCAUAAGCAGAACAUGGCAGACUGCCCACAAGAUGAAAUCACAGAGGAGAACGAUUGACCCUGCUGGAUCAGACAACGAUAACUUGCGAAUCAAGCGAUAUGUUGCUAAGUAUACCAUAAACCCAGCCAUAGCAAAUGGAGUUGCAGAACACAUUGGUUCAGUCGAGGUAAUUCUCGAUUCGAGUAAAUUACCUGAGUUGAGUACGAAAGAACCACUGAUCCGCUUUUUGUAGGUCGGAAAAUGGGCUGAUCUUGUUCUGUGGCAACCCGCAUUCUUCGGAGCUAAACCGGAGAUGGUGAUCAAAGGUGGUGUCAUUGCAUGGGCUAACAUGGGUGACCCGAAUGCAAGCAUCCCAACACCUGAACCGGUUAGAAAAUCACUAUUUUACAAAUCCUGAACCUAAAAGGGCUCGCCCGACUUAAUGGCGUGUAACAACGUAUAUGAUUCGCUGCAGGUGAUCUCGAGGCCAAUGUUUGGAGCAUUUGGCAAGGCCGGAAGUGAAAACUCCAUUGCCUUCGUCAGCAAGGCAGCCUUAGAUAAUGGAGUCAAAGCCUCAUACGGGCUUGACAAGCGAGUCCAGGCCGUGGGGAACGUGAGGAAGCUAACGAAACUCGACAUGAAGCUCAACGAUUCACUCCCGGAAAUUACAGUCGAUCCCGAGACUUACACUGUCACAGCUAAUGGUGAAGUUUUAACUUGCCCUGCUGCCACUACAGUUCCUCUUUCAAGGAACUACUUCAUGUUCUAGGUAAUCAAUGCUAUUAUCCCUAGUUUUCUCAAUUGAUGAGAAAAUCUACUUGUAUCUCCCCAUUGAAAAUAUCGAAACUAGAACACGAUUUCGUUUGUUAUAUUGUACUCAAAUAAAGGCGAAAAUUUGUGUUUUGAGUCUAUAGCUUGGCUGCUGACAUCAUGACAAGCUUUGUCAAGUCUUUCCUGAGAAUCUUGCCUUGUGCAUUCUUUGGUAAGGAUGGGAUGAACAAUACUCUACGUAUCCUCUUGUAUGGUGCAACCUAACGAAGAAAAUGAAGGAAUCACUGUAAUUUUUUUCAUAUGGUGUUAAAUCGCUACGACAAUGAACACGAAAUUAAAUACCUGAUUCGCUACAAAACUCUUGAUAUCUGAUUCGCUCACGGUGCUUCCAUUCUGUCUUGCCACGAACGCUACCGGAACUUGGCCUGCUAUUUCAUCAGGAAACCUGCAAAAAAUCCGAGAUCAGACUAAUGUUUUCAUUUACUAAUGUCAACGAAAUGAAAGCUUGAAUGGACUUCUUACGGGACGACUGCUGCCUCGAGAAUUUCCGGAUGUGACUGAAGCAGAUGCUCAAGCUCAGCUGGAGCUACCUAAUUCAAUAACUCUCAUGAUAUCAAAACGCACAAAUCCAAUACUCGAGUUCCUGCAAAAUUCGUACUGUUUAUGAAACGAACCUGAUAGCCUCUGCAUUUGAUCAGUUCCUUAAUCCUGUCGACCACGAACAGGAACCCUUCAUCGUCGAUGUAGCAGAGGUCUCCAGUUCUCAGCCAUCCUUCCGAAUCCAAAGCUCUAACAGUUGCUUCCUCGUCGCCAACAUAGCCUGCAAGCAUCAUUACAGGAACCAGAAUCCUUGUCCCAUCAGGAUAACGAUUCGGUUAUUCGAAUUCUUUCCGAAUGAAUGUCAUGAACAAGAAUUCAUUAUCAUUACCCUUCAUAAUGGUUGGCCCUCUCACCCAAAGCUCUCCAGCUUUACCAGGAGGCAGCGAAAUUCCAGUUUCAGGAUCAACAAUUUUCGCUUCACAGCUGGGACAUAGCUUCCCUGUUGCGCCUCCCACCUUACUCUCCGUUGAUCCCACCGUCGUAAACAUCCCCCCCGUCGUUUCCGUCAACCCAUAAGCCUUCACGUACAAUCCCAGCCGUUCAUUUUUUUUUUAUAAAAAUUAAGAAAAGAUAAAUGAAUAAUUUUUUUGCCUUACCUGGACGAGCAGAGCACUUGGAAACAGCUUGGCAAAGAGCGCGGCUGCAUCUCUACCCAGUGGAGCGCCGCCGCAGGCUACAACUUCCAGAGAGCUCAAAUCGUAGCCGGCCAUCACUUUCCGAUCUUCUUUGAUCAGAGAAAUUACGAGCGGUGGCGCUGCCGCCACGUGGCUAACACGAUGUUCCUGGAUCGCUUUCAGCAUCUUCUUCAAUUCUAUUCUCUCCAUCGACACCAGCGUUUCUCCGAAGGCAACCGUCCGGAGACACAGAGCGAAUCCGUAAAUGUGGAAAAACGGCACCGUCGAUAGGCAUACCGCCGCAGGCUGAGAAGAUUUUCUUUCCGGCCGACUGGCGUGAACAGCGGCCACCACUGAUGUGAAGUUACCGUGAGUUAACAGCACUCCUUUGGUUCUUCCAGUCGUUCCGGAUGAGUAGAGGAUCGCUGCCGGAUCUGAUUGGUAGAUGGUCACCGGCUCUUUGUUGAGCUCGCCGUAUCCGGAUUCUGUGGAGAUCGCUAGGGAUUCGAACUCGAUCGAGUCGAUUAGAACUGUCCUCACGACGGAGGGGAUUUUACGAGCUAGAGAGGAUGUCGCGAAUGCGAUUCUAGGUUUGGACAAGCUGAGGAGGUGGAGAAUCUCCUGCUUCGAGCUCGCCGGAUUGGCCGGAGAUACGACGGCGCCGAUGGACAGGAGGGAGAGGUAAAGGAUCGGGAUGUCGAUUGAGUUGGAAGAGAGGAUCAAAGCCGCGUCUCCCUUCCUCAGCCCGAGGUCCCGGCGGAGGGAAGAGGCUAGCGUGCUGACACGCGGAGCGAGUUCCGCAAAAGAAAUGCGGCGGCCGGUAACGGCGUCGACGAGAGCGGAAGCGGUUGAUGGUGGCGGAGGGGAGGAGUUGAGGAGGUAGAAGAUGAAAUCGACGAAGGAGAGUGAUGCUGCAGAUGUCGACGGCGGAACGGGGGGCCUGAGACUGUGGUAGGCCGUGGUCUCUGAACAGAAGCCGCUUCUGGGAUCAAUUGGCAUUUUACAAGGUUGAAAGCUAAUGAUUGGUCUCGGUAGCGUAAUGUACAGAGUGAUAGGAGGAGGAGGAAGAAGGUCCACCCAACAGCGACUGAAUCGUGUUAUUGAUUUUUUAAAUUAUUUUAAAGUUUUUAAGACAAUUAAAAAUAUAUAUUAAACUUAGAAAACUAUAAAAAGUAUCUUUUGUGAUAGGAUAACGUUAAGCUUCUUUGGUUUUGGUUAAUAAUUCAAAAAAAAUCAUGGUUUUGGGUUGGUUUAUCGUUAACCAAAACCCAAUAAAGAUACCAUAAUACUAAUUCAAAUCCAAGUAGUCUCAAUUUGGAUUUGUUUCCAGUGUCACUGCCCAUACAAAACUUGUAAUCCUGCAAGACCAUCAUCAUAACAUCAUUCAUAUUUUAUGAUUUCAGUAUCUCAUGCAACUAAUUUAUGUAGCUAAGUACAUCCCAACUCAUCAGUCACAUUGAUAUUUGUAGUUGAAAAUUGUUACAAUAAUAGUUAUGUUGUGAAAUUAAGGGAAUUUAUCCCUCCUUAUUGGCUUUGNNNNNNNNNNNNNNNNNNNNNNNNNNNNNNNNNNNNNNNNNNNNNNNNNNNNNNNNNNNNNNNNNNNNNNNNNNNNNNNNNNNNNNNNNNNNNNNNNNNNNNNNNNNNNNNNNNNNNNNNNNNNNNNNNNNNNNNNNNNNNNNNNNNNNNNNNNNNNNNNNNNNNNNNNNNNNNNNNNNNNNNNNNNNNNNNNNNNNNNNNNNNNNNNNNNNNNNNNNNNNNNNNNNNNNNNNNNNNNNNNNNNNNNNNNNNNNNNNNNNNNNNNNNNNNNNNNNNNNNNNNNNNNNNNNNNNNNNNNNNNNNNNNNNNNNNNNNNNNNNNNNNNNNNNNNNNNNNNNNNNNNNNNNNNNNNNNNNNNNNNNNNNNNNNNNNNNNNNNNNNNNNNNNNNNNNNNNNNNNNNNNNNNNNNNNNNNNNNNNNNNNNNNNNNNNNNNNNNNNNNNNNNNNNNNNNNNNNNNNNNNNNNNNNNNNNNNNNNNNNNNNNNNNNNNNNNNNNNNNNNNNNNNNNNNNNNNNNNNNNNNNNNNNNNNNNNNNNNNNNNNNNNNNNNNNNNNNNNNNNNNNNNNNNNNNNNNNNNNNNNNNNNNNNNNNNNNNNNNNNNNNNNNNNNNNNNNNNNNNNNNNNNNNNNNNNNNNNNNNNNNNNNNNNNNNNNNNNNNNNNNNNNNNNNNNNNNNNNNNNNNNNNNNNNNNNNNNNNNNNNNNNNNNNNNNNNNNNNNNNNNNNNNNNNNNNNNNNNNNNNNNNNNNNNNNNNNNNNNNNNNNNNNNNNNNNNNNNNNNNNNNNNNNNNNNNNNNNNNNNNNNNNNNNNNNNNNNNNNNNNNNNNNNNNNNNNNNNNNNNNNNNNNNNNNNNNNNNNNNNNNNNNNNNNNNNNNNNNNNNNNNNNNNNNNNNNNNNNNNNNNNNNNNNNNNNNNNNNNNNNNNNNNNNNNNNNNNNNNNNNNNNNNNNNNNNNNNNNNNNNNNNNNNNNNNNNNNNNNNNNNNNNNNNNNNNNNNNNNNNNNNNNNNNNNNNNNNNNNNNNNNNNNNNNNNNNNNNNNNNNNNNNNNNNNNNNNNNNNNNNNNNNNNNNNNNNNNNNNNNNNNNNNNNNNNNNNNNNNNNNNNNNNNNNNNNNNNNNNNNNNNNNNNNNNNNNNNNNNNNNNNNNNNNNNNNNNNNNNNNNNNNNNNNNNNNNNNNNNNNNNNNNNNNNNNNNNNNNNNNNNNNNNNNNNNNNNNNNNNNNNNNNNNNNNNNNNNNNNNNNNNNNNNNNNNNNNNNNNNNNNNNNNNNNNNNNNNNNNNNNNNNNNNNNNNNNNNNNNNNNNNNNNNNNNNNNNNNNNNNNNNNNNNNNNNNNNNNNNNNNNNNNNNNNNNNNNNNNNNNNNNNNNNNNNNNNNNNNNNNNNNNNNNNNNNNNNNNNNNNNNNNNNNNNNNNNNNNNNNNNNNNNNNNNNNNNNNNNNNNNNNNNNNNNNNNNNNNNNNNNNNNNNNNNNNNNNNNNNNNNNNNNNNNNNNNNNNNNNNNNNNNNNNNNNNNNNNNNNNNNNNNNNNNNNNNNNNNNNNNNNNNNNNNNNNNNNNNNNNNNNNNNNNNNNNNNNNNNNNNNNNNNNNNNNNNNNNNNNNNNNNNNNNNNNNNNNNNNNNNNNNNNNNNNNNNNNNNNNNNNNNNNNNNNNNNNNNNNNNNNNNNNNNNNNNNNNNNNNNNNNNNNNNNNNNNNNNNNNNNNNNNNNNNNNNNNNNNNNNNNNNNNNNNNNNNNNNNNNNNNNNNNNNNNNNNNNNNNNNNNNNNNNNNNNNNNNNNNNNNNNNNNNNNNNNNNNNNNNNNNNNNNNNNNNNNNNNNNNNNNNNNNNNNNNNNNNNNNNNNNNNNNNNNNNNNNNNNNNNNNNAAAAUUAUUAAUUUUCAAAAGGGUAUAAAUAGAUAAUUUUUAUUAAAAAAAUUAAAAUUUUUAAAUCAAUAUACAUAUUAAAAAUGAUUAAAAAUAAAAACCAAACAUUAAAAAUGUACUCAAUAUUAUUUGAACAUGUUGAUAAAUAUUUUUAAUUUUAUUUGAUUAUUAUUUGAAGAGGGGAUUUGAUUGUUUGUGAGGCUUUGACAGCCUAGUAAAAACUGGGGUAGCAGAGGAAGGGCAUUGAGGUAAUAAUGCAACUUUCCUACCGUGCAGCUGGUGAAAUAAAUGGAGAAUGAGAAGUAAUAAGAUUGCUGGAUACCCAAGUACAAUCUGCUCAUAUUGAUCCAUUGACAUACAUGUAUACAGCACAUUUUCCAUUAGAUUGUGAAAAUACUCCACUAAACUGAAGCCAACUCACAGCAGCGACACAGGCUACCUCAGAGAAGAAAGCUCCAGUUGCCAACUUUACCACCUCCGCACCAGGCCAUGGUUAUAUGCACGAACAACGGAAACGGCACAACAAUUAACAGAAGAUUUUGAGGGUGAAGAUUCCAAUAAGGUCUCCGAAAUGGAAUUUGUUCAAGACACGUUUACCAUUCAAAAAGAGCAAUGAAAUGCAACAGAGGAUGUUUAAAAGAAAGCCCAAGGGCUGACGUAGUAGACUCCCCGUCUUCUUUAUCAUACUUGUCGGUAACCAAAUGAAGAGAUUCGCAACCGACUCAUCGAGCUAGACCGUCGAGCAAGGUUCACCCCACAUGAUUAAGUAUGAUCUCUACAUGACAAACAAUGGGAGAAAGAACUGCAAGCUUCUACAGGAAUACAUCAGGCAGUUAAGGCUUAGAAGUUUACCCAUUCCAAUGCUAAAACGGAAAAAGCACUAUCAAUGAGAUAAAUCAUUUUAAGUCCAAUAUAUCAUUUCAGCUGAAACAUGCAGGGCAGCAUCUUGUUGCUCUUUUACAUGCGCCCAAUUUCUGAGUCCUAAUCGUAUACUAGACUAAUCGCAGAACGGGGUUAAGGUCCAAAGAUGAAAGCUGCUCUAUAUCCACACCAAAUAGACAGAGAACAUACAAAGGAUGGCCAAGGAAGAGCAGGAGUUGAGAUCCAAAGAUGACACCCCGACAAUUUAUAAGAGCACACAAAUUAGACAAAGCAGACGCAGGCGAUAAUUGGAAGACAAUCUCGAAAGGAAAUGCAGCACAAUCUGAAGUGCAGGCAGAGAUGAGAAUAUGAAUCGACAUACAGGGUAUUGAACCAAGGGUUAUCGUGUACCUCUACUUGGCCAUGUAGACAGUUAAUUGAAAGUUCUAUUAGGGUCCGCAGUAUGCAGGUAACCUCCGGAACCUGCUUGCUUUUGGUACUGCAUUUGGAUCAGCAAAAGGUGUCAUUAAACAGUUCUCAGUGACAAAUGGACAAAUCAAGUUUUCACACAGUACAGUGUAAGCAUAACAAAGAACAAGAUUCAACCACAUGAGCAAUAAUCUUUCACACAUAAGACUGCACGCAAUUUUCGUUCUCACUAUCAGUUAGAUAAGUCAUUAGAAUAAGACACGAUGGCACAUGCUAUGUACACGUUGCGUUUGAAAAAGUGUUUUAACUCGAUGAAGCACAGUCUAAACGACAUGUGUGUCUUGAAGACAAAUCGCCUAGAGGCUGGCUUCAAACUUAACAAAUCAAGUAAAGCAAAACUUGAUCAGAACUCCCAUUAACAGCUGUAUUGCCUGGCAGAACACUAACAUACAGCAGUACAUUACAGGAAACACCGAGGAAAUUUGUAGGAACUACACACUGACCGCAUAACCAAGAUCGAAGUGAACUAAAAACAAACAUCGGGAACGAAACCCUAAAACAAGGUGGAACAAUUCAAAUGAUAAUUGAUGAAGCCGAAAGGGAAAAAUCGUAUACUCCACAGAAAUACAUGCAUCAGAUCAAAUUGAAACAGAAACUACCCUAAUUAAUUAACAAACAGCACAAUGUCCAUCCAGGACAGGAAGGCAACCAAAUCUUAGGACUUACCUCUGACGAAUCAUGUUUACUGGGUAUUCUUCAUCAAUGAAAACGCUAAGAACGUCUCCUCCGCUUCAAACCAACAGUCUCUUGCAAACACAAUGUGAAUAUUAAAAGAGAUAUAACAGGCAGCUGGCAACAAACCAUAGUCUCAAAUCUUAAAAACCAAAUUUUGAUAGAAGUGUUUACAAUGUACCAAUGGAAAUAUGUUACAUACACUCAUUCAGCUGAAACUGAUUUUUCGAAAGAAGAAAAGCCAUUAUGCCACACCUUGCUUAGCAAGCGGUGUCACAGAUGGAUAUCUAUAAGCUUGAUAACCUUGAUGAUGAACUCAACCUGCAACACAACUACUUGAUGGCAGGAUCCAAGUAACUUCCGCAAUCAAAACACCAGAUGAGCCAGCUAAAAAACAGUGUGAAUGACCGUCUGAUAAUCAAUGUUUGCAACUUCCCUUCAGUUGUUACCCCUCACCUCAACCUUGCAUUGUGUCAACAAUAUGUUAUCGUGAUUGACGGAGAGGGCCAGGAGAAGGAUUAUCUAGCCAAAUAACCCGCCAGUUCCUAAUUCUGCUUGCCGCAGCUCUUUCCGACGUUGUUCUUCCAGUGGAUCUGGGCUCUUCAUUACUCUCCGUAGACGUCUAUUCAUAAAUAAAAAACAAUAUUUAAAACAAAAGUUGUAAGAAAUUCUUUUGAACAGAAGCUUCUAGAUAUCUCUAUUACCUGUCUUGUGCAUGUUGAGCAGGGAAUGUUGGCAUGAAAUCUUUGGACUUAGGAAGAGGUACUUCACGAAACCACUCGUGAUUUAGUGCAGCAUCAACAGUUAUUCGCUGAAAAAUAUUAACAGAAGACCUUAGUAUAAAGUCAUAAUUAUUGGAUCUAGGCAGGAAAACACAGUUAACCUACGCGUACCUUCUCAGGGUCAUAGGUAAGCAGUUUGUUUAACAGAUCAAACCCGGCAUCAGAGAGCACUGGAGAUCCAGUGAAAGAUGUUGCUGGAAACUUUUUACGUAGCAGGUUAUACCUGAAAUAAGUAGGUGAGAUGGUUAAUUAAGAGCAGGAUCGCAAAUGUCUUAACUGAAAAUUUCACUGUAGAUGCCAGAUCACCAGGACCAUAAUCACCCAACUGGGAGCCUGGGAAAACAGCAACAGGAAUAAGAAUGAAUGGCUCUUAUGAUAAGUUUGAAUUAGAUAUAAGAAAAUAAGAUACUUACUGAUGCUUAACGAAAUUAACCUUGACUCUUGGUAGCUUCGAAAACCCAGGCCAGAUGGUUUCAUUUGGAGUACCAAGGAUCCGGAAAAUCUGAAAUUCAGUAAAAAGAAGUGUCAGCUAGAAAACAAACUACUGCAACCAUCAGGGAAUCAAGGUAUUCUUUGAGAUAACUUACCUUGUCAAGUUGAUCAACCUCUGUUUUGCCAUUGAACAAAGGUUGUUUUGAUAGCAUUUCAGCCAUAAUACAGCCCAACGACCACAUGUCAAUUGCUGUUGAAUACUGCUCAGCUCCAAGAAGAAGUUCAGGCGCCCUGAAAGUUAACACAAUGGAAUCAGACAACAAUCUCUUAGUCCCAAGCCGCAAAAACAGACAUGUAUUAUCUGAGUGCAUGCACGUGACAUUUUGUGAAGUUUCAAGGUGACCCGAGAUUUAUAAAACUGACAAAACUUGAAGAGUAAUAAAAUAAAGAUGACAGAACUACUGCUUACCUGUACCAAAGAGUAACCACCAUGUGAGUAUAUGGCUUCAAUGGGCUCCCAUAUUGACGAGCCAACCCAAAAUCACAGAUCUUCAACUCACCCCGGUUGUUUAGUAGUAUAUUUGACGUCUUCAGAUCCCGAUGAAGCACCCAGUUAUCAUGCAAAUACUUUGUACCCUCCAAAAGCUGCAACAUUAAGCAUUUAACUUCACUCUGACUAAAUGGCUGCUUCAUUGACUCCAUGAGUCCUUUCAGAUCAUGCUCCAUAUACUCCAUCACCAUAAAAAUGCUAUCCAGACUACUACCUACCACAACCUCUUUGACGUCAACAAUAGAAGGAUGAUGAAAGGAAAGGAGAAUGUUUAUCUCCCUCAAAGAAGUAAGAGGAAAACCUUCUCGUUCUUUCUCCAUUUUUACCUUUUUCAAGGCCACAACUUCGCCACUUUUCUUAUCUUUAGCUCUAAAUACAACACCAUAUGUACCUUCAUCUAUCUUAUUAAGUCUCUCAAACUCAUCAACACUCCUACAGCCCCUAAGCAUGCUUAUACUUCUCUGAGGAGGACCAGCUGGUUCUGGUGUGUCUCUAGAACUGUCAUCAUCGUCCGAAUCAGUAUCUAAGUGGCCAUUGUUUCUAUCCUUGUACUCUCGAUCCCCGUCAACCUCCAUAUAUUCAUCCCUCUCAGAAUCAUUAUUAGGAUACUCGUCUCUACUUGAAGAUCUAGGACGAGAUCCAGGUUCAUCAGAAGCUGAUGACCUACCAUUGGCUCCAUCAGACCCUUCUCUCUUCAGGUCGCCAAGCUCAGGAGUCACCGACUUACUUCGCACUUUGGAAUCAGAUGAGUCUGGAUACGGCACCUUCUUCCUUCUUCUAGGCAUUUCCUGAUCUUCCACAAUUUCACCUUCAUCAACUGGAGAGUUGUUCCCAGCUGCCCAUCUUGAGGAUGAUAUAUGCCGAGUUGGGACAUAAUCUUCAUCUUCUAAAUCCCCUGGCUGGAGGCCCUGAUACUGUUUGGGAUCAUCCGACAUUAACAUCGGAGCAUCAGGUUCUACAUGAGACUCGUGGUCGCCUGAAGGUUUAGCGUAUGGAUCCUUGACAGGAGACGAUGACUGCGAGUUGCAAUUCUUAUAACUUCUGGCGGGCGAUAUACCCACAGAUACCUCUCCAUUAGCAACAGAUAAUUCACGUGGUAGCUUAGGGAUGGGAAGGGGAGGUGGAGGAGGAAGAGCUGUUACCCCCUCCUUCGGAACCCUUGUUUCUGAUGAAUUACUCACUGCAUUAGCAUCCCUAUCCCACACAAUAGGAGAAAACUUCCUCUUCUUCUCCACAUGAGCUUUUGUUUCCCCAUUCUCUACCACCUUUGAAACCUCCCUGUCUUCAUAGACCUGUGAUCCCGACUCGAUCCCACCAUCAGACCCACUAUCACUAGACAAUUCGCCAGGCUCUUUAUCCACUGCCUUAGCUGCAGAGUCACACCGACGGGGUCCCCUGACACCUUCACGGCCACCACUACCACUACUGCCUGAAUUACUCCUGCUAGAUGAACAACGGUUCACACCGUUGACAACUUCCCUCUCCUUCGUAUCUCUCUGCCUAACUCUACCAUUAGACCUAUCCUUCAAGUCACGAACUCUCACACGAUCACGAUCAUAUUCUCGAUUACCGUUCCCAAUCCUAUCAAACCUCUCCUUAGAGUACCCCGAAUCCUUCCUUGACAGCUCAAAUCCCGCCUCCCGUUCCCUUAACUCGUAAUCACGGUACACUCCAGGCCUCCCAGCCGCCAUGGAUUAAAUCGAACACAACCCAAAUACUCCAACACAACUCCCAGCAACGAAACCCUAAACCCGCCCAAGUCAAUAAACAACCAACAGCGAGAUACAAGCAGGAAUCUCGAGCGAAGUAACUUCGAGAAUGAAGCACAGAAAGUAAAUCGCAGAAUCGAAUGAACGAGCACAGAUCUUCAAAUCGAAACCCUAGGGGAAUUGAGAGACCCCCAAAGCAAGCAAACAAGCGAUAACCAAAUUGACGAUCUCGAUUGAGCUCGAGUACGAUUGAUCGGAGAUCAGAGAUCUCGGAUGAUUGGUUUGAGGGGCGCGUACCCGAUUAGAGCAGGGUGGAAAAGGCGGCGAGUCGUUGAAUAUUAAGAGAGAAUCGCAAAAGGUCGGGCUCCCAAUCGAUGAAAGAGGGAAAGACGAUAAUAGCAAGGCUUAAAGGGAAUAUAAAUAGAGGGCGGAACGGGAAUGGAUUUUACAAUUCUGUCCUUGUUACCCGCUCCGUUGCCCGAAACCGGUUUGGUGUUCUGUAUAUGGGAGUCAAAUCGGUGGCUGACCCAAUUCAUUUUAAUUUGUUUACAUCUUUAAACAUUUUCAUUAAAAACAAUUUAUAUACUCCAGUUUGAUUCAACUCAAUUAGAAGUUAUCUGUCCGGUUUGAUAGUAUUUGUUACGAGACCAUUUGAACCCAUAAUACGACGAACAAGUCUCCCGGUCUGACAAAAAUCCAACUCAUAACUCGCCCAAUCCGAAAGUUAGAUGAACUCACCCCAAUUCAAAACCGCUCGGAGUACUUAAGCCAUUAUCCGAGCGGCCAUACCUAAUAAACCCGCAACGCAAUAAACACACAACCCGGUCUACUCAUACCCGAUUCCCAACCUACCCGUUUCACGUACAAUGAUACAAUCCACAUUGUAACAAGUUCAAAUUCUUAUACAAAGAACAUCCAUAAUAAGGGACCGGUGUUCAAUAAUACAGAGAAAAAUACUGAUAAUAUUACAAUGGUGGAAAGCUUCUUUCAGCCAUUUGAUGUCUCUCCAUCACCAGCAAAGAGAAGGGAGUUUGAAGGAGAAAGAAGAAGGCAAAUGACCGUUCCUUCUAAUGUAAUCAGCCCUCUCCGAUGUCCUCACGUCCUUCUCGUUCAGUUUCGCCUCCGCAUUUGCUCGCUUCUCCUCGGCCACUCUCUUCGUGGUUGCCAACUUGUUCGCCAGCUUCUCUUGUGCUCGAGCCUUCAUCCUCUCCGCUUUCACCUAUGCGAUUACAAGAUCGAACCAAACUUAUAUCACACAUUGCUAGGAUACGAGUCACGACGUAUGUUGUUGUCUCAUAAGCCCUAACACAACCCACCCUCCGAUUUCGAGGGGAAUGUAAUGUAUAAGCUUACCUCCAUCUUUCGCAUUUCCAUCUCUGCUUUCCUUUUCUCAUGAUUCUCCCAUGCUUGAAUCCUCACCUCUUCCCUCUUAUACCUACCAAUCACCACAAGAUCAUAGUCAGUAUUACCGAAAUUCGAUUGAGUCCUACGAAUGUUCUCCAUCGUAUCGACUCAAUUGCAUAUCAUAAAGUAUAGAUAGAGUACUAAAGUGUCGAAAUUAACUCGAUCUGUAACAAGUAUAUACAAGACCAAACUGAAACUAACCCGUGGUCAAUGCACCACGGUUUCAUGGCACCAUGAUCAAGGCUAGUGUGACCAAUUAAUGCCAGUGAGCCAAGGUAUCUCGACCAGGUGGCCAAGGUUAGUAGCCGUGGCUAGAAUUAGUGUCGAGGUUUCUCAACAUCGUGAGAUUUUUCAACACAUUGACCAAUGUCAACGUGCCAAGUGGUUUCACGACCUAUGGUCAAGAAUCAAGAGUCAAGACUAUCCGGUUUAUAAACCAACCAAAAACUCCAAUUAAGCCCUAAUUAAACAUAAUUAGUGAUUUAUUGAUUCACCUUGCCAUGUAUUUAGCACGCUCAGCUUCAUCCCAUGCGGCAGCUCUUGCUUCCAACGGAUUCACCGGAUUCCCGCCGUUACCGGAAUCCUCCAUUUUGAUCACACUAUUCAUUUCGCCGCCAUUCACCCUUCCUCCGCCACCGCCGCUGCUCGCCGGAAUUUGGUACCCAUCCUGAACAACAACACCACCACCACCGUGGUGGUGGUGCCCCGCCGCUCCUCUAACCGGCGUGGUCGACCCCGACGACAUCGGGCUCCUCGCCGCCGGCGUUGUCGCCCUGAUCGGCGUAGCAGACCUUGACGGCUCCUGACUAGCAAUCGGAGUCAUCUCCGUCCCCAUAUCCCUAACACAAAUCGACCGAAUCGCCGGAGGAGCAGCAGAGACGACCGGAUUAAUCGAACCGCCGGGAGCAGGCUUAUUAAUCCGCCAAAUCGACUCGUCGUCGCACUCGACUUUCUUCGUCCGAUCUCCUCCUCUCCGUCCAUCUCCUCCGCCGCUCGAAUACCCAUCCUCUUCCUCAUCAUCAUCAUCAUCCAGCUCCUGCUGCGGCACCGGAGCAAUCAACCGCCGAUCGUCGGCGUUCCAAUUCUCGGGGUGCGUGAGUUCGAUCCUUUCACCCCACCCUCCCAAAGGAUCUGAUUCUUAUCCCCUCCCCCUCCACCAGCGCCGCCUCUCGAUAACCCCACCAGCCAUUUCUGCGCGUCGUCCCAUUUGGACGGCGUCGGCUUCCCCAACGCGAUCCUGUGGUGCUGCUGACGGUGAUUAUUCCUAGCUGAAGAAGAAGUCUUGUCGGUUCUGCUACCUUUAUGAAACUCGAAGCUGAUUGCUCCAUUGCUGCUAGGAAUCUCUUGCUGAUUAUGAACCGGCGUCGUUGCUCCAUUGCUGUAGCAACUCUUAUCUUCUAUAGAUCUCAUCUUAAGAGAACCAGUUUCAACCAAUUACUCGAACCGAACAACUCGCUACCAAACCGGUUCGUCCCAAUUACUCAGACUUGAGCAACUACAGACGACUAGCUCGACUUCGUCCCCAAUAAAUCUCGACUCUUUCUGUCACUAGAGCUCAAAUGCAGCAAAACCCGAAUCUCAAAAGAACAGGUUCGUCCCAAUAACUCGAGCGAACCUGCAAAACCUGAAUCUCGAAGAACCAGUUUCCAGAACCUGAUAUGGAGGAUGAGAGAUUGGAUCCAAAGAGAAAGUAUCAGAUCUCAAAAGCUUGGUGAUUGGCAAUCUAGCCAAAGAUAGCUAGGUAAAUUGAUUCAAGAAAGAACAUGAGGAAGGUGAGAAGACACAUUUAACAGAGAGAGAGAGAGCUUGCUAGCUAGUGUUAAUGGCUCUGGAAGAAGACAGAUUUGAGCAGAGAACCCUACAAGAGAGACAGUUAUCUGAAACUGAAAGCUUUAAUUCUCUUAUUAUCAAGAAUUGAAGGGUGGGACUGGGAGGGGACCGGAGAAAUAGAGGGGUUUUUAAGAACAGUGGGGGGGGGGGGGGGGAAGUGUGUUUUUAAGGGGCCUUUACAGGAAAGGGAAAGUAUUUACUGGUACUGUUCAGUGAAGGGAACAGGGGAUGAGGGGGAAUGAUCUUAAUUUGCUCUCAAAACUAUGGAGGUGGAUGAGGGGGAAGAGGGAGAAAGACUGAAAGAGAAAGGUUUCAGAUCUCCAUUGAAGAAGGAUUAAAAUAGAGGCUUUUAGCAAAAGGUAGCAAGUCUCUGCAUGGUGGAAACUUGAGCCGGAGAAAAAAGAAAAACUUUAAAUAACUUCUUGCACUAGGAACCAGAAACUAGUCUAUUAACAUGAUUGCCACUAGUCGCUUCUCAUGAAUGGAAAGGGGAACGAAAUACAGGUGUACAGGUAAGUUGUAACGAAAUGAGGAAAGCUACUAGCUAGCUUGGGGCGGCUAAGGCCAUGGACUAGUAUAGCAUGGAAUAUCGUAGCUUAAUUUGUUUUUGGGAGGGAGAAGUAGUAUUGAAUUAAUUGAGGACCAAUGUUAGAGUUGACUCAUUUCUUUCACAAGCCAAGUAGUUUACUUCAAUUUAUAUAGUAUUGAGUUUGGUCGAAAAGGGCGCUAGGCUCUUCAUGCGUUGGAUCUAGAUAAACUUGGAUGAUAUUAGAUGGUGAUAAUGAGGAGAACGAUGGAAGAAGUGUCCUUUAUAUGUGGUGGAAUAGGAACGGAGUUUAAUUAGAUCAGAUUAUUCGUAAAGUGAAAUAUUGAAUUAGGUGUUUUCUACCUUAAAUAAUGAAAAUGUAGGAAUAAUAAGAGAAUCAAUGGAGUUAUUAGUAAGGUAAGGGUGGGUUAGGGGAUGACUUAGGAAUAUUAUUGAGGAUUUGAUCGGUUUAUUAUAAGGUAGGCAAUAGUCGAAUUAUGACAAAAUGAAGUGGAUAUGAGGUUUUUUACAUCAUGCUCUUUAUAUUCGAGCCGUUUGAUAGAAAUUUCGUCAUAGCUUUAUACUUAUGUAGCGUUAUAAGAUUAUUUGAUAAUAUAGCGAGUUUGUGACACUCAGUGUUACUUAUUAAGCUCAUUUAAACUUCUAAAUUAUAAAUCUGAUAAUCAAAUCGAUUCUAUGUUUAGAUCGAUUUUCGGAACACUAAAACCGAUUUAACGUCUAGUUCGAUUCCCACAACACAAUGAGGGAAAAUAGUACUAAUAUACUCCCUUGACGUUUGUAGCUAAACGGUUUCAGUCCACCGUCUAAAAGAAGAAGAUAGAACGCAGAGGUGCUGAAUUCACUUUUCUUUUUCUUUGAAAAGGCCGUUGGGCUACUUUAACGGUAACUGGGUACUACGGCGGGUAGUAAAAAGUAGGGGAAACACGUGGACGGUGGAGAUGAAGAGGUGGGCAUGGCAGUUGCAUAAUUAUGGGCUUGAUUGGAUAUUUUUAAAAAUAUCUUACGAUUUCUCUGAACCUUUUCACGUGGAACAUUAUGGGGAGUCUCUGAUUUGAAAUUGUUUUUUAGUGGCUGACUGACCAAAUUUCCAAUCAAAGCUUGCUGGAAAUUCUGGAGAUGAUGAAACCCUAAUUUUCUUUUUGGAUGCACAUGUAUGGGCUUGGCCAUUUCCAGAGUGAUUGGCCCACUGUUUGUAAUUAUUUAGUUGUUUGUGUACAUCACAAUCAUUGAUCAUAUAAUUAAGUUGAUGAGGAGUGGUAAAUUAAUUUAAUUCUGAGUGUCAAAUCAAUACACAUGAUAAUACUUUACAAGUGGCUAUAAGUCUUGUAUGGAAAUUUAACAUAUACAAAAACACAACUUGUAACAUCAACAUGCUUACCACUAUGAUUCUGGUUAAUAUCUUUAUUAGUUCAGCUGACACAUUGGAAAGCAUGGUGUGACCUAACCAAUAACGUAACUAAUUUAAAGAUAAGAAUGGUGGUAAAAACACACUUAGCUUGUUGGAAACACGAGUCUAAGAGUUUAAAAUGAAAAGGUCUAUUCUCUGAAGAGGACGACUACACAUGUGGCUUGUGCCCUACUACAUACCUACUGUCAGUGUCUUUAAAACGUUUGUCUGGGAUCAAACCCAGCAGCAGCAGCCAAUUUUGAUAUGCAUAUGUAUAGUAGUGAAAUCGUUAAUUUAAUGAUGAAAUUAAAAAGUAAUGUGAAAUAUUGUAAUCGUAGAAUCGAAUAAUAAAAUCAUAAAAUUUCAUGACUUAUUUAUAAUAGCAAAUUUAAAGAAAAAAAUGUAUUAACUUUUAGAUUAUUAGUAUUAUUUUAAUCUACACUUAUUACUAAAAAUUAAAAAACUAUCAAUAAAAAUAACACCUACAUUUUUUUGUUCUUAGACAAAUCGAGUGCGACGAAUGAACAUUUUUUUAUUUAUAACUAGAUUUAUAUGUAGGAUGUUGAUAGAAUAUAAAAUCGUAAAAUACAUAAAAAAUCAUUACUUUUACAAAAUUCUAAGAUUUAAAUCGAGAUUUUACGUUAUUCCACUAACCACCAAUUUUAAGUGAAAUCAUAAUCGUUCGACACUAAUAAAAUCAUAAAAUCGUGAAACCUUAAAAUCUAAAUCAUCCAUUUUCAAUACUCCCAUGCAUAUAGAUUACGAAUUUUGGACAUAACUUGUCAGAAAUUAUUCAUAUGAACUCAACUCAAACUUUUAUAAUUAUUGUAAUUAAUAAUAAAAACGACUACUAGCAAGCUAGUUCUGGCAAAUAGAGGAAUAGCCAGGACCACCGUAGAGGAAAUGAGUACCAAAAUUCUGAUCCCAAUCCUGCACUUGUGCGUCGUAACAAUUUUCAUCCGAAGCUGUUGUUUGAAUAAAGCGGACAUCCUGGAACGAUCCCUUGUCGUCCACAUAUUCUAAGUUCUUGAACCAGGCCGCCUUUCCGAAGCCUUCGCUCGGGAAAUGGCCGCUCCCCAUCUGAGUCCUUGUGUGAACCCCUUUCGGCUUCGUAUUGCUAACUUUACCUCCCCACAGCAUCACAUUUGCAGAUAUCUUCAUGCUCGGCAAUAGAUCUCCCGGCCAGUACCCUACAUCCGUUCCUUGGAUGUUUAGCCACCAGUUGCCCGUUUUAAAAUCCUGUGAUGAAUGAGUUUCAUGAAAAGAGUUCGCAUGCAUGCACAAUCUCGAUAUAUAUAAUUGGGAAUUUAAAUUUCUUACUUUGUGAAUUUUGAGGUUGAUAAAAAAUUGUUGGCCGCCAUAGAUGGAAACUGGGUUUAGUUGAGAACCGAGGACAAUGGUAGAACUUGUUUGAACAAAACCAGGACAGUCUAGAUUGUAGCAUCCAGAUACUUCGGUUGCAUCCCUCUAUAGAAGAGAUCCAUAUAUAUAACUAAUUAAUAAUAUAAUUGUGCACACCUAGCUAGCUACAACCAUAUAUUCUUAUUACAUAUGCACUUACGGUCCAAUAUGCGAAGAUGGUGGGUUUUGGCUUCAAUGGCGUUACCUGAUAUUUAUUAUUAUUAUUAUUUGAACGACCAAAAAAAUUAUUAUUAUUACUAUUAAUUGAACGACCAAAAAAUAAAGUUGUUUCAUUACUAAUAAUUACCAUCCAACCAGCUUGAAACGACUGCACUUUGAAGCCGUCACCACCGAACAUCCAAACUUGGGAUGAGCUCAUUUCGUUUGGUUGUGUUUGUGGGCUCCAUACGCUCAUAUCCAUAUUGAGUCCAUAGUAAUCAUACGACGACGACGACACUCCCGCCACCUGUAAUCAAUCCAACAGUAAUUUCACUUUCAGUAUAUUCACAUAUUUAAAUCUCAAUCAAUCUUCUAACGCUACAUGUACCUCAAUGUCCUUAAAUGCCCAAGUCGUCGUUGACGAUCUCAACAUUGCUAUUGUUCCCUUGGGGCAAUAUUCACCAUUCUUAUGCCACAUUUGAAUAUAUUUUGUUGAGUUAACCACAACUUUGGAUCUCGAUCCCCUCAGGUAUGAACUUGGUUUCAACUAAACAACUCCAAAAAAAAACAACUCAUAACUGUAUUUUAUUUGAAAUUACACAAACACAAAUAUGCAACUUUGUUGAAGCUCACCUGAAGAGUGUGAUUUUUCAAGAGCGGAUUGUUGAAAGCGGGUUGUUUAUAGAUGUCCACACAAUCAAUAAUUUCGUCUCCGCUCUGUUACAAAUACAUGCCACAAUUAAGCACAAACCACCCAUAAAAACAGUAUAUGAUAACAAUAGUAUUGUAAGAAUUGGUCAUCGCCAAUGCAAAGACAAUCGAACGUCUAACCUAUUCACUCCCAGAACAAUAACAAUUGCAAUUUAUACGAGAAAAUUGGAGGAUAAACAGUCAAAGGAAAAAUGGCAAUUUCGUAAAUUUUGAUUUAAAUGAUUACCUUUCUUAUAUUAGACGUUAAUUGUUUAUAGGCAAAUAAGGUAUUUUUCUUCAAGUAAAUUGAACUAAGGAAAUUUAUUUAAUGAUUUUUCUAUUUCAUUUACCAAUCUCCAAUUAUGAUUGUGCAUGAAUCUUAAAUUAAUUGGUAAUUAAAUAUUUAUGGUAAUUUUUUUGACGCGUCAAUCAUUAUUUUAUUUUUAUUAAUCACCUGUCAAAGAAUAAGUAAGAUGUAAUAUUAAAAUGGGCCAGACAUGAGGUACGACACCCACAAAUAGGGUCGUAUAGGUCAGGAAUUGUCUCACUAACGUACAAGCAAUCUCAUUCCUUAGGGCGGCUGAGCCUAAUGGUUACCUGGUUGAGUGGGCUGACAACACUGAUAGAGCAUGGAAGGAUGAGGACUGAUCCCGACUGAUGCCAUUUCAGUCUUUGAUUUGACGUAUCGAUGACGUGAUCGAUGUCGAUUCGCGAUACAUGUACUAGUAUCGACGCCACAGCCACCCGUGCAUCCUCAGGGCGCUCCUUACUGGUGCCCUCGCGCCUACAUAUAUGGUAAUUAUGUUUGGUAUUACUUUCGGUUAGGGUUCACACCCGUAUGUACAUGAUAGUUGACUUGUUUCCUUUUCCUCUGUACAACCAGCUUACAGGGUAUUGGACCAUAUGCAUCCAUACCUUGUACGAUUCCGAUGAGGCAGGAGUACGAUUCCAAUGCUGAGUAUCUGGAGGCGAUCGAGGAGCUCCGAGCAGUGUUGCAUAUAUGUAUGUGGACUUCCGCCACCAGAGACCGUAUCGUUAGACGUGUGACUGUAUUAUGUUCAUGUUUUUAUCCAUAUUAUGUAUUGAGACUUGUGUAUUUAUAUUUGUUGGUAUUUGCUGUGUUGGACGAGACCAUGUGUGCUUUGAGAUUAUGUAUGAGAACAACAUUAUUUAUUUAGCACAUCCACGAACAAUCACGAUUAUUUACGUACUUAGUAAAUUAUUCAAGUACUGUCACGAUUAUUACAUGAACUAUCGAUACAGGUGUACAAUUAUGUUUGAGGUAGCACCAAUAACUCGUACGUUGAAUAUUUUCGACGGUACAGUGUGCCCAGCCAAGCCGCUUCUGCACUGUCAUCUGCCCAAUCACUGAUGAUCAUUUCUUCCCACUCCUUGAAGAACUCUGCAGCUGUUUGUGCAUACAACACUUUAUUCAACCUACCAUGCACAAAAGCCUCAGCCAUUUCUGCAUUAGUCGUUAUGUACUUAACCUUCGCCUCGAUAUUCCUCUUCAUGUGCCAAAUGCACAGUAAAUGGGGAGUCUUUGGGAAUACGGUACGGAGUGCCGCAACCAGACCUCGUUCCUUAUCUGUCACAAAUACAGUAGGUUCUCGCCUACCCAACAUUAAAGUCAGACAUUCCAACACCCAAAUACAAGACUCUUGUUUUUUCAUUCUCAACAAAAGCGAACCCGAUGCUAAAGUUCUUCCGCACUGGAGUCACACAAACCAACUGGAUCACUGGCUUCCUAUAAGCGUUGGUGUUGAAAGUCGAGUCAAUCAUAAUCACAAAAUACCAUGAGCUAACCAUCUGGACACAUUCGGGGUGGCUAAGAAACAGAUGAACAAGAUUGUCAUCAUCAUCCUGCAAGUACUGAACGAAUAACCUAGUUAUGUAGUCUCACGCAAAGUCCACUCCAUCGUAUCCAAACCAUAUAAUUUCUCCUUCCUAAUCUUAUAUGAUUCGUUGUAAAUUUGAUUCAUAUUUUGACGAGUGUUGAACUUUUUGUUCAAAGAAUACCUGCUCUUAUUCGGUUGUGUGAACCGCCACCAUAUUCCGAAUAUCUAUUUUCGCCUCCUCUGAUAACGGAUUGCUUUCUGAGCUAAUUUCAGUAAAAUGAAUCAGAGGAUGAUUGUGGUACCCCUUUGACUUAUCAGGAUCCUUUAUGUCUUCAAGGCCGUCAAUAAAAAAACUUCCACUCGCAAUCUACCACCCUUGAUCACAUGACAAGUUUGAAUGGGCAAUUGCACUUUUUUGACUUCGUCGCUCGUUUCGGCGGAUAUGGACCCUCAGACUUGUGAACGGGUCCGCGUGAAAAAUACAGAUACACCCGACACUCCUUUUUCGAGUCAUUGCUUUUGUUGGACCCCUUGAUCUGAUGGAAAUUAAGCGUCGCAGCAAUCUGUUUCGCUGCUUGCGCCGCUUCACCGAUACUGUCGUACACAUCGUCGGACAAGAACCAGUCGGAGUAAUCAAUUCCGUCACCGGCAUCAACUUCCUACAAAAUAUCAACAUCGAAAUACAAACUACAUUAAUCAUUUACCUACAUAUAAUAUAUUCGUUGAUCAUUAAAAAAAAACUGGCCGAACACUACGUAGUACUCGUUGACAUAUCCCGUGCAUCCAACCGAUACUUCAAGUAUCCAAAUCCAAAACCCUAAACCAACAUAAAAGAAAAUAAAUUAAUAAGUUUAAUUAAAUUAAAAAAAAACCAGACAGAACGCCGGUCCGUCCGCGCUAAUCGAUUUCCGUCCGGGUGGUCUGACCGGAUGAAACGUCGGUCCGUCCAAAUUUAUUUUUUCAGUUCGAAAUUAAAUUUGGUACCUUCCAAAUUUUGAUUCGGUGAUUCGCCGGGAGUGUUUUCGAAUAACUAAAACAUACUAAAAAGGAUUUUUUAGAUUAAAAUUGUAAGUUUUAAUUUUUUACAAAAUAAACAUUUUAAUUAUUAUAAAAUGUAGAGUGUGUUUUGAUUCGAAAAUCAAGGCGUGGUUUAGUAAACCUCGUGUAAAACCUUGGUAUUCAUAUGUUCUCAUAUGAGAACACUAAUCACUGUUUCUCGCCAUAGUUCCUCCAAACUCUCCGCUGCGCUCCUAUACGUGGAUUGUACAAUGAUCACGGAUAGCCUAACAAUAUCUGGACCGUUAGAUUUAUCACAAUAAAUCGUGCCCCUCACUUUCUCGUCGGGCUGACAGUACCUAGCUCUCCAUUUUUCUCUAUCUCCUUCGUUUCACUUCAUUUUUCCCUUUCUUCCCAAUACCGCGAUCGACCCCGAACAAUCGCCGGAGCAAUCCACGGCCGUCUCCGAUCGUUCUCUGAUAUGGUAUGUUGGAGCACGAAUCAUUCGUCUGUUCUGCUCGAUUUCAUAUCUGUUUCAACUCCGGAUCGUUCUCGUUUUUAGGUUAUUUUCUGCGUGUUUUAACGAUAAUGUUCUGCGAGGGCGUGAAUUUUGAUAGGCUGUGCGAACGCUAGAUCUAAAUUAGUGUGUUUUCUGCGUUCGUGUUUGGCUAAGGAGGAAAGCUUAGACAUUGAGAUUGACGAAGGGAAUAAUGUGGAUUUCGAUUCUAAUUUGUUUUCCAUAUAGGAUUGGGCUUCAGUUAUUUGAAUUUAGAUUAAGAUAAUAAGAUUAGAUUUUCCCCCAAGAUGUAGUUUUUUGCUCGGGUAAUCAUUUAAGGUAUUGAGAAUUUUGCAAUGGUUUGAUAGCUUAUAGUGUAGUGUACUAAUCCACUGUUCUUGCCUGAGAUCAUUGGAUUCCAAAUAAUCAAUUGCCAUUGCCUAGCUGAUAGUAGAUGCUUCCUUUCUGUUUUGAUUUUCGAGAAUCUUGUUUCGGAACUGUCUGCCUCCUUGUAUAUGUCUCCGAAAUGCCGGCUCUUUUGUUGAUUGAUCAUCUUGCUGACUUGUAGCUCUAAUUGUCUGUAGUAUUCACUUUUCCGGGACUCUGGAGCUGUUUUAUGCCCAGAGCUCUGAAAUAAGAGUAGGAACAAGCAUCUUUUAAGCUAUGAUUUAACUAUCGUUUUCACAGGCACCCAUUAGGGGCAUCUUUGCCAUGCAAAGUGCAGCUUUGGUUCGGCGUCAUGCUGACAAAUUGGGUGUAGGAUUUAGAUCGUUGAGCACCCAAGCUGCGAGCAAUUCUGGGGCUCCACAGCCACCACCACCACCACCACCUCCUGAGAAGACUCAUUUUGGUGGCCUGAGUGAUGAGGAUCGGAUAUUCACUAACUUGUAUGGACUGCACGAUCCAUUUCUUAAGGGUGCAAUGAAAAGGGGUGAUUGGUAUAGAACCAAGGACUUGGUUCUGAAAGGUACUGAUUGGAUUGUGAAUGAAGUGAAGAAGUCUGGUCUCCGAGGACGUGGUGGAGCUGGUUUUCCCUCGGGACUCAAAUGGUCAUUCAUGCCUAAGGUUUCAGAUGGUCGUCCUUCCUAUCUUGUGGUCAAUGCUGAUGAAAGUGAACCCGGUACUUGCAAAGACAGAGAAAUCAUGCGUCACGAUCCCCACAAGCUGUUGGAAGGCUGCUUGAUUGCUGGGGUAGGAAUGCGAGCUAGUGCUGCGUAUAUCUACAUUAGGGGUGAGUACGUCAAUGAACGGAAUAACCUUGAGAUAGCAAGGAAAGAAGCUUACGCAGCUGGGCUUCUAGGCAAGAAUGCCUGUGGAUCCGGCUACGAUUUUGAUGUUCAUAUCCACUAUGGUGCUGGUGCUUACAUUUGCGGGGAAGAGACUGCACUUUUGGAAAGCCUUGAAGGAAAGCAAGGCAAGCCAAGGUUGAAGCCUCCUUUCCCUGCCAAUGCUGGAUUGUACGGCUGGUCCACAACAGUCACAAAUGGGGGAAAAGUUGCUGUAUAUCCCACCAUAUUCCCAGGAGGUUCUUCAGUCCCGUUACUGCCCAAAAACAUAUGCGACGAUGUACUGAUGGACUAUGAUGCACUUAAGGCCGUCACAUCAGGAUUGGGAACCGCAGCUGUGAUCGUGAUGGACAAAUCGACCGAUAUCGUCGAUGCGAUCGCGAGGUUGUCUUACUUCUACAAGCACGAGAGCUGCGGGCAGUGCACUCCGUGCAGAGAGGGCACCCCCUGGCUGUGGAUGAUGAUGGAAAGAUUGAAGGUCGGAAAUGCUAAGUUGGAAGAGAUCGAUAUGCUUCAGGAGCUCACCAAGCAGAUUGAAGGGCAUACGAUUUGUGCUCUUGGUGAUGCCGCAGCUUGGCCUGUACAGGGUCUUAUUAGACAUUUCAGGCCAGAGCUUGAGAGAAGGAUCAGGGAGCGUGCCGACAGGGAGUUGUUGGAGGCUGCUGCGUAAACUUUUUUAACUGCUGCUUAAACUUCUUUAAAGGUUUGUUCCUGCACCUGUACUUAUUGCUUUACUUGUCUGAUGGAUGGCGCUUAAUGUUGCAAUAAACAUGGUUUGGGUUCGUGAGAACCUUCAUUUCGAAACUAGAACAUCCAGGAUCAAAAUGUUAGAUUCCUCCCCUUAGUAGGAAUCUGAUAGAACAAAACACUAAGUAGGUGGUUUUCAGAACCAUAGAUGAGCCGAACUGUCGAGACUAAUGGUACGUGGCUCGGUUUUUAAACUGUUAGUAAACCAGGGAUGUACCCUGAUCGGGGCGAACUGGAUUUAUUACUGGUACAUGGCUGAACUGGUUGAAUUGUCCGGUAUGGUAUGGUUUGGUUUUGAAAAAACUCUAAGCAGUAGAUGCUUGAUACUGGUGUUUUUUACUUGAGAUGAGAGUCCCUCCUAAGUAGCAGUAAUACUAAUAAUAACUAAGUGGCAUGGUUUUCCAAACCGUAUCAAUUGUGUAUACUGUUAUACCUGUGGAUGAACCGUGGUUAACCAUAAUUGUACCGGUGAAACCAUCCGACAUCGUUGAUUUUGGUCAACCAAAACUGACAAUUCUCUGUUGGUUCUUGGAGAUCCCUGCAGUCUGCCACACUAUUAACUGAUCGAUUCGUUUUGAUCAACCGAACUGAUUCCCAGCAAGUAGAUUCAUAUCUCGGUUGACUGGGUACAGGGUGGUGCUUUGAUUGUUAGAGCAGUAACCUGUGUCUUAUGUAGUGCAGGAAACUCGUUGCUUACAGAAGGUGCUGAAGAUUGUGGAAUAAACACAGCAAAGCUACAUUGUUAGUUUCAAGCAGUCUCUCUCAUUAGUAAUUUCUCCCCUGCCUUCCUUUCCAGAGCUGCUGUACUAAUACUAUAACUUGCAUAUUUUACUUGUAUGGCAAAGAGGGGGAUGAUGAUGAUGAUAUUUAUCUUGUUUCUUCAUUCUGUUUGAGACUCGACUUUUGGAAGGAUUCUUGAAGUUGUCUAAAUAAGAUCCUGUAAUCGAGAUUUUACGACGAUUUUGAACUCGUAGUCAUCUAGUUCUGACUAGGAUAAUUCUUGAGUGGCCUGCUCCCAAAGGCCAGUAGGUCCAAACACUCAGUCUAGUGUCUUUUCUUGGAUGCACGAACUAGAUAGGUAGGUGGAACAAUUCUGGUAUUGUGUAAUGAAUCAUAAAUUUGAUUAAUGGGUGAAAAGUGGAAUUUGAUUGUGUGGCUUAGAGAUGGAGGACGAUACCGGCGAUUUUGACUAAUAACUCCAUCUGGAAUUUUGAAGAUUUGGUAAGGCUAGUCAAAUAUUUAAUCACCAUAAUGAGGGUGGUUUGAUAUGCUGACUAAUUAAUAAACAAAGAUUGAGAUAGACGAACCUCUAGCCAACUAACCACGUCAGCAACAACACAAAGAGUAUUUUUUAAUUAAAUGGUUUGGUUGCUUCUAAUUAUUGGACUAUUUAAGUCCCACUAAUCUCACCCUUACAUUUAAUUAUUCCCUAAUGUAGUUACAAUCGGACCGGCUUGGUUGGUUCAACCACUUAAAUGGUCACUCAGUCGUUUCCAUUCAGUUUAAAGGUAUAUAAAAUCAUCGGAACUAGUUGAAUCGAAUCGUAAAUUCGAUGAAAAGCCGAAUAACUUAACCAAUUUUCUUAACAACUUAAUUGCAAUUAAACCUCUAAACCCUUGCUCUCUUGUCCGGUUCGGUUCAUUUUGGUUCGAGUUGCACAGUCAUUAAUAUAUAAUUCUUAUUCCUCCUCCUACUACCAUCAGCCAAUCAUCCUCCGCCACGUCAACCUUCCUUUUAUAUAGGCCAGCUGGCUCUUCCAUCUCCAUCACAUUAUCACACACAUCAACGAGCUCAUCUUCUUCUUCUUCGUCGGCGCUCUUUGUCCGAUUUCUCAACCUCACACAAACCAAGGGUCUGUGGAAUAUUUUCCUCUUCCUUCUUCACCAUCGAUCGGCGUUCUUUGUCCGAUUUAGCUCAAUUCCGAUGGCGCGAGGCCUCUCCUUCAGCCUCCACAACGACGGCUAUAACGAUUGCGGCGGAGGCGGAUGUAUGUCCUCCUCCGCCGACGGCGGCUGGCGAGCGAAGCUGAUGAGAAGAGAGAAGAAAUCGUAUUAUUCUCCAUCUUCUUCUUCUUCUUCUUCUGCAUCAUCGUCCCCGUCGUCGCCGCAGUAUCUCCGUACGCUGAAAUUCGGCCGCGGAUCGAGUGAGAUCGUCGGAGAUGUGUUCUACGGGACGGACGACGCGGCGGGGAUAGAUGAGUACAGGUACAAGGAGGAUGUUCUGGAGCAUUACAGGAAGGAGAAGGAGAUGAAGUCGGUGAGGAGGCAGAAGGAGAGGAGGCAAGGGAGCUGGUACGGCGCCGUUGUUGACUGGUUUAGGAGCAUCUUGUGCUGUUUCGGAUGAUGAUAAUAGGGGGGAUGAACAAGAAUGAUGGAUGAUUGUCAAGUCAAUCACAUUUCCCCCUCCUUGGUGUUUAUGUAAAUAUCUCAAUGCUCUCUCAUUCUCUCUUUUUAGCUGUUCGAGUAAUAAGGAUAAUCAAAAUGUUCAUCCAUAAGCUUGUUUCUGUUUUGUUGAUCUAAUGCCUGAAUUGCUCUGGAAUUUGGUCCGAUUAUCAUCCUUUCAAGUCUACCAUUCGAAGUAACAACUCCGGUGAUGCGAUCGAAUUCGAAUUAAGGCCAGGAGCACAUGAUCGAUAGAAGGAACCCGGAAGAUGCUCCGGCAUCACUAACUUGCCAGCAUUGCUGCUGUCGACUUGUGUCUGAUUAAGGCCAACCGCCCAUCUGUCGAAAUUCGAUAAAAUUCGCUCCACCAUAAUGUUCGAAUUAGGCAACAUUGUUUGUCAAAGUUGUGGCAUUUCAUCUCAAUAACUCGAGAGAUCGGGUUUUGGAAGAACCUCGAGGAAGGUGGUCCUGACUAGUUAGUACGUUGAGGUAUCGGCGAUUAACGAAAAUUUGCAAGAUCGAUUGAUUCGCUAUAAUAUACGAAUUUGAUUAGGCAGUGACUUCCGUUCCAUCGCAAUAACUCGAGGUUGAAUUUUUGGAGGAACACAUCAUGACUUGCCAAACUAGCGCUAUUGCAAAUAUUAAGGCAAUCUACGCCACUCAAACACCUUCCGUAUUGCUUUGGACAUAUUAUCUAUGUGUAGCUUGAGCAAGUGUAAGUAGUUGGCUUCUCUCAUAGCCACAAGCCAUUUGUCUAGAGUUUGUUAAACGUUAUUGUCAACUUGUAUUUGGGUGCAUAAGGGUCUCAAGUCAAAAGAAC